UUGCAUGGAGUUGACAAUCAAGGAAGCUUCUCUGGCAUAAGGCAAGAGGAACAUAUCCAUGUUUUUACAUUGCCAAGUUUAGCUGGAUCCUCUGGCCUAAUGGCAGAUGAUUCUAUGGAAUAGUGACAGCAUCUUAAUGAUAGAUAAGGCAGAAUUGGUGGGAAGCACAUGGAAUAUUAUAAAGUAGGUGAUUGCAAUUUGUGAAUAUAAAUGAUGUGAAGUUGUCUCCACCUCACAUUCUUGAUAGUACAGACUACAGAACAAGCAAGCAGUCAUCUGCAAGAAGAGAACACAUGGGCCUUGUUUUUUACUCUGUUUAUAGCUGUUGGGAAAGUCUCUACCCAUUUUUGCACAAGAUCUCCCACUCCUGACAAAGCUGCCUGCAUCUUACCGUAUCUUCUUAAUCAUUGGCAGAGAAUUCUUCUAGUAGCAUGUAGCAGUAAAUUCUAACUUUGUCUUCUUUCUUUAGAUAUGCAGCUUAAUGUAAAUAGUAGAAUUCUAACUUUAUUUGCUUAAUAGAGUAGGUAUUAGUAUCAGGGUCCAGGUCUGUGCCAGGGACCCCAUAACCAACACUCAGUAUUCUGGCCGUUGGAUGAAUAUCCAGCGGCCGAGAUUAUAACCUACGUCCAGCGCUUUUUAACCGCUGGACGAGGUCCUUUUCCGGUUAAAAAAUGUUGGAUGUAUUAUACUUUUGUUUUAAUCCUGACUGUCGGAUAUUCAUCUAACGACCAAGAAACUAGAAAUUGAUUUGUGAAUAGAUAUUCAUUUAACGAUCAAGAAACUGAUUUGUAAAACAGCCAAGAAACUGAUUUGUUAACAGAUACCUGAUAUACGUAUGUUGAAUGUCAGGGACCUGGAUCCUAGUAUUAAAGGUCCAGGACCCGGACCCUUAGUAUUAAGGUUAUCAAAAUUUUCUUAUAAUCCACUGUGUUCUCCAUUUUAGCUUAUUAUUGAAGUAGGAAAAGUGUAUAGCUUCAAAGUGCCGUUGGAAAAGUGUAUAGCUUCAAAGUACCAACGCCUAACGGCUUUUUAAUGUCCCACCUGUUUGUUUUCUUUCAGGUUGUAGCUCUUACAUGAAUGGGGUAAUGAAAGGGGAUUAGUACUGUAAAUGAUUUGAUUUCUCCGUCGCAGGAUUUGACCCAACCUAUUAAUUUUAUGAUUAAAAGUACAGUAACUGAAUAUGCAUAAUAUUUGUCUUUUAUAAAGAUAAUUGGUGAUCUGAGUUGCAAGUAAAUUGCAAGCAAUGUUGUCGGUGAAAGAAUAAAACGGUAGUCGGUAGGAAAAAGGAACAAAUGGGUCCUUUGGAAAAAGAAAAAGAGAUAAAUAUGCGAACAAAAUGAUGACCAAUAAAAUGGCCAAAUUUAACGGCAGUUUUUGGGCAAAGGUUAUCUACUUGUCUCCUCUCUUUGUAAGAGGAAGUUGUGAUGAGUUUCCUGUUUUCAGUAAUAAAAUAUUAGAAGAAAAGUAAUUUUGUUGUAAAUCAUGUAAUAUAUACUAUUAAACUAUACGAAAAUAGAAAAGAAAUUAUCCUGAAAAGUAUAAAGAGAAUAGAAGAUGCACAGAGAAGGUAGUUUGUAUUUCAGUAUAUUUCAGAAUAGAAUCUAUUUCAACUGAACCAGCUAUUUAUAGAGGUUGGUUGAUGAAUCUUCCUAACUAAGAUUUACAAUACUUCUAGGUUAAGUAUUAUUAUUCUUCUCGAGUAAGUAUCGUAAGUCUUCCUCGAUAAGUUAUGCGAGUCUUCGCUAGUAAGUUUCGCCAGACUUCCUUGAUAAGUUUUGUGAGUCUUCCUUAGUAAGUUUCGCCAGACUUACUUGAUAAGUUUUGCGAGUCUUCUUGACUAAGCUUUUGACAAUCAUUUAAUAUAUUAUUUUAUAACACUCCCCCUUGAUUGUCAAAUGCGAGUUAUCAUAGAGAUUAACUGCCUCGUUAAAACCUUGCAAGGAAAAACCCAGUGGGAUAAAAAACCUUGUCGAAGGUAAAAGAGUACAGUCUCCCCCUGAAUUAAAUUACUCACAUUUCGACAUCUUGAUCUAGUAGACUUCCUUGUCGAAGGUAAAAGAGNNNNNNNNNNNNNNNNNNNNNNNNNNNNNNNNNNNNNNNNNNNNNNNNNNNNNNNNNNNNNNNNNNNNNNNNNNNNNNNNNNNNNUUUAAUAUAUAGGUUAUUGGAUGAACGAACUUGUUGUACAUCAAUAUCCCCAUUUUCUUGAAACUCCUGAGUAUAGAAGAAUUCUAACAAUAUGUGUUUUGUUCGAUCUCCUUAGACAUGUCUUUCCUUGAGUUGUCUUAACCAAAUACAUCAUUUGCUUGCUUCAUGAAUUUCUAGUAACUUUGUUUGUGAUCGCCCAAAGUGAAGAUCUGACAUGUAUCCAGCAUCUUUUAGUUGGGCCAGAAUUGAAUCUCGCCAACAGGUUCACAACAAAUGCAAUAUAAGGGCUCCAAUUGCACGAAGGUAGGAAACUUCAGAUCCGUGUGCUUAUUCAUCCUAUUUUUAGGAUGGAAGGGAUCCUUUUCAACCUCGAGUGAUUGACAAACCAUUGGCGUGUUUAGUGGAUGAGCUUUGUCCACGUAGAACCGAUCAAGGAUCUUUUCAGUGUAGUUUGAUUGAUAAACAAAUAUGCCUGAAGAUAAGUGUUCCACCUGUAUACCUAAACAAAAUCUUGUCUUUCGAAGAUCUUUCAUUUCAAAACUCAUUUUUCAAAUGGUUAAUAGCAUUAGUAAUAUCUUCAAAAGUACCAAUAAUAUUCAAAUCAUCCACAUAUCAACAAUUAUAACAAAAACGGUUGGUGAACGUUGAAUAAAAAUGCAAAGACAUACCUGGUGAUUAACAUAUCCAUCAUUCAAUAAUUAUUUACCAAGCAUGUUGUACCACAUACGACCAAAUUGUUUCAAACCAUAUAAUAAUCGUUGGGAUAUAACAUAAUAUAAAUGUCAAGGCUUAGUGUCCUCUAUCUCUAAUCCUAUGUUGAAUAAAAAUGCAAGAAUAUACCUGGUUAUUAACAUAUCCAUCAUUCAAUAAUUACUUACCAAGCAUGUUGUACCACAUACGACCAAAUUGUUUCAAACCAUAUAAUGAUCGAUGGGAUAUAACAUAAUAUAAAUGUCGAGGCUUAGUGUCCUCUAUCUCUAAUCCUUCAGGGAUUUUCAUAAAAAUAUCACUAUCAAGUGAUCCAUAAAAGUAUGCUAUCACAACGUCCAUCAGACGUGUUUCCAAAGCCAUACUCAUUAUAAAAUGAGAGGUAACUCCAUCCAUUACAGGAGAGUAUAUUUCCUGGUGAUUAAAAUUAUACCCAUUAGGAAAUAAAAGUAACUCUAUCCCUUAUAGGAGAGUAUGUUUCCUAAUAAUCAAAUCCAGGUCUCUGAGAGAAUCCUUGGGCUAUCAACCAAAAAAGUAACUCUACCCCUUAUAGGAGAGUAUGUUUCCUGAUAAUCAAAUCCAGGUCUCUGAGAGAAUCCUUGGGCUAUCAACCAAGCUUUAUAUCUCACAAUUUCAUCUCUCAUUUCAUUUUCAUACAAAUACUCAUCUAUUCCCAACAGGGACUUCACCAGCUGGUGUUUAAACUAUAGGUCCAUAUACAUUUACCUUGCGCAAGAAUUGCAAUUCUUCCUAGAUUGCAAUUUUUCAUUUUGGCCAAUCAUAUCAUUGUCGACACUCUUCCACACUUUGUGGUUCAAGAUCGGAGUUCAUAAUAAUAUUGCAUACAUAUCGCAAUCUCAAUACUCCCACGAUCCAAUUAUCUCAUUGUCGACACUUCUCCACACUUUGUGGUUUAGGAUCGGAGUUUAUAAUAAUAUCACAUACAUAUCAUCAAUCUCAAUACUCCCACGAUCCAAUCAUCUCAUUGUCGACACUUUAGGAUCGGAGUUUAUAAUAAUAUCACAUAUCACGGAAAAACAUACACAUCAUCAAUCUUAGUACUCUCACGAUCCAAUAAUUUCCCUUUAUGUACAUAAAUUAUAGAGAUCUCAUAACUUUCAGGUACCUUUGCUUCCAUGGAAGCAUUUGCCACUUCUGGGGCAUUUGCCACUUCUAGGGCAUGUGCCACUUCUGGGGCAAUUUCCUCUUCAGGAGGAUUUGUCACAGCCACUUCAGGGGCUUGAACCUCUUCAGGAGGCAAUACCACUUCUGGGGUAAGCUAUCAGCCAAGCUUUAUAUCUCACAAUUUCAUUUCUCUCAUUUCAUUUCCAUACAAAUACUCAUCUAUUCCCAACAGGGACUCCCCCAGCUGGUGUUUAAACUAUAGGUCCAUAUACAUUUCCCUUGCGCAAGGAUUGCAAUUUUUCAUUUUGGCCAAUCAUAUCAUUAUCGACACUCUUCCACACUUUGUGGUUCAGGAUCGGAGUUCAUAAUAAUAUCGCAUACAUAUCGCAAUCUCAAUACUACCACGAUCCAAUCAUCUCAUUGUCGACACUUCUCCACACUUUGUGAUUUAGGAUCGGAGUUUCUAACAAUAUCACAUACAUAUCUCAAUACUCCCACGAUCCAAUAAUUUUCAAUUAUAUACAUAACUCAUUGAGAUCUCAUAAUUCUCAGGUAUCUUUGCUUCUAUGGAAGCAUUUGCCACUUCUUGGGCAUCUGCCACUAAUGGGGCAUGUGUCACUUCUGGGGCAUUUCCUCUUCAGGAGGAUUUGUUACAGCCACUUUAGGGGUUUGAACCUCUUCAUGAGGCAAUACCACUUCUGGGGUAUGUAUUUGUCACUUCUGGGAUAAUAUCAUAUUUCAAAGAAAAUCCCGUUUUAAAGGAUUUUGUUUCAGCCGCUUCAGGGGCUCAAACCUCUUCAGGAGGUAAUACCACUUCCGGGGUAUUUUAUGGAAUGGUUGCCAUUUCUUGGCAAAUCUAAUUAAUUUCCGUUUCAUAAUACAAUAACCUCUAUAAGGGGUAAUACCGCUUUUAUGGUAUAUAUCAAAAAGCUUGGCACUUCUGGGGCAAGUACAAUCAAUUUGUAAUUUCACAGUACAAUGUCAUAUGUACGAAUAGAUUUCACAGUACAAUUCUUCAAGAAUUGCUUUAUAAAUCAGGAUUUCAAUCCUUACCAGAGCAUUAAUAGCAUGUAUGUGUGAGAAUAUGUCUAAAAGCUCUAAAAGAAUCCGGCAUUUGAUUAUCAAUAUUUUGCAUAUGAAUACCUCUUUGAAGUUAUGACCCAUAUUAUUAGUACGUAGAUUAAUAUAAUCAAAAUCGAUGCAUUCGAAGAUAUCACAUAAUUUAUGCAAAAUAUUUUCUCCCCUGAUUUAGGGAAUAUAGAUUCACCAAAAUGACAAUCAGCAUACCGAGCAGAAAAAAAAUCCAAUUAAUGGUUCUAGAUACUUUAUAUUAAACGGAGAAUCAAAACCAACAUACAUACUAAUUGUGCCCUCAGUGUAGUUCUUUGUGACAAUGCAAUAAGGGCACAUUCUUCAAUUAUCAAAAGUCCUCCACUAAUAUCUCUAAAAUCCUUUUAAUGACCAGUUAACCAAAAGAUUGUCUAUGACAAUCAUAUGAUUCGAUUUUAUUUUAUUAAUGAAGUACUAUUUGACAAGAUACUAAAUAAUUGUAGGUCACAUAACUCUUUACUCUAUUGAUUAUUUAGGCAAGUAAUUUGGUAAAGGCAUAUAAGGGACCAUCGAGUUGACGCAUCAAUUAAAACCAUAAAGUACCUAAAUGUGCUAAAAGAUGGAUGAAUAGGACCACAAAUGUCACCUUGAAUUCUUUCUAAGGAUUUCAGGGAUUCAGUUUGAAGCUUAAAUGGGGAUGGUCAGACAAUCAAUUUUCUUAAGAAACAUACUGAACAAGAAAGUUCAUCUUGGGGUAUUACCUUUUGAGUUUUAAAAGAUGUCCUGUAGAAUCUUCAAUAAUACGACGCAUCAUAGAUAUUCCUAGAUGACCAAGCCUUUCAUGCCAAGGAAAAAGUAGUUUUAGGUUUGUUACUUUGGGAAUGUUGACACUGAGAUUCAAUAACACUUAUUCUUGUAACAUAUAAUCCUGAAGAAAUUGAGUGAAAUUUUUAUUGGACCUUUUUAUUGUCAAUUGUGUCUGAGGUUAUGAGAAGAUAUUCUUUUUCAUUCUCAUUAGUAAUUUCAAUGUGAAAGCCUUUUACAAACGAGUAUCUUUAAACCUUAGUAGGUUUCUAGUUGUCUUUCUAGAGUAUAGAGCAUCUUAUGUGCGUCUUAUUUGUCAGAAUAAAACUAGCUUCCAAUAAACCUCUACUAUAUAUGAUGUACCCGAUACCGUCCAGACAUGUAAGUUGGUUUUAUUAGUCAACUGUGAAAGUAUUUCUAACUUUGUAAAAUAGUGUGUGUGCUUGUGCAAUCAUUAAUGCAUAUAUCUUCCAUCUCCAUACAUAUAUAAAUGAAAAACAUCUUUUAAAAACACACAGAGUAUAUUAAACAACAACAUGAAAAAAGCUAAUAAAGAAAAUAAGUAAAACAGAAAGGAAAUAAGUAAAGCAAGACAAUACAUAUGAAGUCUAGCAACCAUAAUAAAGGUUAGCACCAGUAUCUAUUUCAUUUGAGACCUUAUUGAUUGGUUCAUCAACUAGAUUAUAAUUAGCAAAGUUUGUUUCUACUCUCUUUCAUUAUUCCUUUUGAAUAACCCAUAGAGAUCAACAAGAUGUUUAGGUGUGCGAUAGGUACAUUGCCAAUGUCCCUCAGAUUGCACCAAUGACAUAUGCCUCGGUUCUCUCCUUCUUGGGGUGCCUUUCUUUUGGCACUUCACGUUGCCAUUUCUAGUGGCCUGAGUUGUAACCAUCACGUUACCACUUCAGGUGGCCCGAAUGAUAAUGAUUUCGAAACCGACUACAGAAAUUUUCACGUCCACGGUUCCUUCCAUAACCUCGUCCUCCUCUACGCCCUUUCCCACGCUCAUUCUUCAGGAAUGACGUGUUAUGUACUUCAGGUAACCGGGCAGAGCCUAUGGGACGUAUCUGAUGGUUUUUCAAUAGCAACUCAUUAUUCUUUUCAGCCACAAGAAGGAGAGAUACCAUCGCGCCAUAUUUUUUUGAAAACUCCGCUCUCUAUAUCGUUGUGCCAGAAUCAUAAUAUUUGGGUGAAAAGUCGAUAUGGUCUUUUCAAUUAUUUCAGCAUCAAUAAUAUUUUCACCAUACAAAAUCAAUUUUGAGCUUAUCUUGAAAAGAGCAUAAUUAUAUUUAGCUACAUAUUUGAAAUCUUGUAACCUCAAAUCAACCAGUCCAGACGGGCAGAUGGUAAAUGAAUAGGUUUCUGGUGAUCAAAUCUAUCCUUGAGAUUAUUCCAAAGGGUGAAGGGAUUUCUGAUAAUGAGAUAUUCAGAUUUUAGGUCUUUAUGGAUGUGAUGUCUAAGAAAGAUAAUUGGUUUGACAUUUUGUGAAACAGCGGGGAUUAUUUUCUUAAUCAAUAGUGUAUUUUAGGCUGUUAGCACUAAGGUGUAAUAUCACAUCAAGGAACCAAGACAGAUAAUUAUUCCCAGAAAUAUCCAAGACAACAAACUCUAAUUUUACAAGGUUCGUCAUUCUGAAUGUAAAAUAAAUAUAUAAAACACAACCUAUCAAUAUUUCAAGUUAAUAAACAAACAAUUUAAUAUCUAUACAGUAUGAUACAACUAAAAAGUUUUAACGACAUUGCCGCCAUUAACAAAUCAAGCAAUAGUAAAUUCAUAAGCAAUAACGAUAGUAAUAAUUGUAAAAUGAGUAGAGAUAGAUCGUACCUUAUUUCCGUGAAAGUCGCAAUUUUUAGAGUUGGUUAUAUUAUACCUGUUUAUGAUGUACCUUGUUUGACUUAUCUCAGUUCGGCAGAGUCUCGUGCUGAUAACGUGUUGUAAAUCUUGUAAUAUAUACUAUUAAACUAUACGAAAAUAGAAACGAAACUAUCCUGGAAAGUAUAAAGAGAAUAGAAGAUGCAGAUAGAAAGUAGUUUGUAUUUCAGUAUGUUUCAGAAUAGAAUUCAUUUCAACUGAACCAGCUAUUUAUAGAGGUUGGUUGAUGAAUCUUCCUAACUAAGAUUUACAAUACUUCUAGGUUAAGUAUUACUAUUCUUCUCGAGUAAGUAUCGUAAGUCUUCCUCGAUAAGCUAUGCGAGUCUUCGUUAGUAAGUUUCGCCAGACUUCCUUGAUAAGCUUUGCGAGUCUUCCUUAGUAAGUUUCGCCAGACUUACUUGAUAAGUUUUGCGAGUCUUCUAGAAUAAGCUUUUGACAAUCAUUUAAUAUAUUAUUUUAUAACAAAUAGUUUUUAAAAUUUGUUCUUUUGCAUAUUUGAUUGGAGAUGUAUAUUUAACUAGUCCUUGCCCAUACAGUAUCUAGUAAUUAAAUUUAUAAAUAGAUUAAUUUUGUUUUUGAAGAAUUUGAAUACGACCAGUUUAAUAUUAUAAAAUUUAAAAUUAAAUGAUUACUGAUAAUAUAUUUUUUAAAAUAUUAUUUCAAAUAUGAUUGAUUGAAAUAACUAUUUUCACAAUGGGUAACGGAUGAAAACAUGAAAACGAACAAAAUAAAUUCAAACAUCAGAUAUUUUAAAAAACGGAUUAAAAUAAAAAAAUAUAUCGGAUUUCAUGGUCAUUCGAGGACCUUGAGGUGGGAGCAUUGAGGAGCUUGGCUUGAACCUUGUGAUGACUACGUUACUUUGCCUUAUACCAUUUUUAAGCUUGCUCGAAAAAUGUUAAGGUCACUGAAAUUUUUUAAAACUAAACGGAAUGAAAAAGAAAAUGCGAGUGAGAGUGAGAGAGGUUGAGAUAAUGAGAAUGAGAUUGUGAGAGAGACAGAAGGAGAGGGGAUAUGAAUGGUGGGGCGAGUGGCGUGCCGAGUUAUGGUUCAAGAUAGCUCAACUCAUAACUGUUUUCGAUAAAUUAAUGACUUGUGUCGAGUUCUGCAUAACCUGCUACGAAUCGAUUUUAAGCUUUUUUUUUCCAACGAGUCGAGGCGAGUUGGGCUGAGUCGACCCGCUCGUUUGGCCACCUCUACAGACAAGUAAACAAAUCCAUAUAAAGGGGAUUAAAAUGGGAAGGGACUGAAUAAAGGGUAAAUCUUUGUUUAAAGUAAAGCUAAUUUUAUAUUAAAAAAAAUAAAAAGAUGCUCUGUAAUCUUUGUAAUUUUUCAGUCAUAUUUUUUGAAAAGGCACCAUUUUACAUGCCAGGUUCAUUUUCUUCAUUUUCUAUUAGCAUUAAGAAAUAUCGAUCUUAUUCACCCAGACCAAAUCAAUUGUUUUUUUGGGGGCAAAUCAAUAUUAUACUGACAACUUUUAUGGGGUUUGGAUCUGCAUUUGACAGUUUUCCCAGCUUUAUCAACAAUUAGAAGGGUUGUGAAAAAAAAUGGGUGCAUGCUGCACAGCUCAAAUUAAAAGAGAAAGAAAUGAUGGAUUACCGGCUAGGAUGCAUGAAGGAGGGAAAGAAAAUGGCAGUGAAGAUAUUGUAACUCAGGGUGAUUUUGGUGCAUUGGUGAGACUGCAAGGAUCCUCUACUUUUGUUUCCAUGUUUUCUCAACAAGGCCGAAAGGGUGUUAAUCAAGAUGCCAUGACAGUUUGGGAGGUAUUUCAGAAUUUUCUUGCAGUAUAUGAUAUGCAUGAUUUUGGUUAGUAGGUUUAUGCAUAUUUUUGGUUUUGUUCUUGUUAAUGUAUCAAAUUUUUUUCGAUUUCGUUGUGUGGAAACAAAAUUUUAAAACAUUAGGGAUUCCCUGGAAUAGAAGUUUGGUUAUGGUUAUACUUCUGCUAUUGAUGAACCUAAAGCUUGAAAUUUUGUUUUGGUUUCAUUCGGUUCUAAUCACCUCAACAACCUGUUUGUUUUUUUGUCAUGUUAUGUUAGCUCUGUGUUUUCAAAAUUGCCUACAACAAGUCCCCUGAUACUUCAUUUUUCAUUUAUAAAUGUCCAUGAAUCUUUUUACAAAGUUGCCUUCUGAUUUUGUUGCACUAUUGAACUACUUUCAGAAGUUUUUUCUCGUCCAAAUUGUACAUUUUCGUUAAAAUCGAGAUAUAUGGAGCACGAUAGUAGCUGAUUCUUAUAUUAUUCCAGAACUAUAUCGGUGAGCAAGAUGCAAUGUUCUGUGGCGUGUUUGAUGGACAUGGUCCUUCAGGUCACAAGGUGUCGCAGUAUGUGCGCAAUGUAUUUCCAUCAAAACUUGCCGAAUCAUUUAAGCAUCCACGAUUUAAUGCAAGCUGCAUUGAUGAAGACCUGAAGUCUGAGAAUGUUGAUGAUCCUGUUGACGAAAACCAUGGUCCACUAUAUUCUUUGGUGAAGGCAAGUUUAGUAGAGUCCUUCAAAGUUAUGGAUGAGGCUCUUGAAACUAAUGGUAAAAUCGAGAGUUAUUGCAGUGGCACGACAGCGGUGACAGUGCUAAAAAAGGUAUAUCUUUUGUUCUUGUUGUGAAUAUGUAUUGCAGAUAUUGAUACUUUAUCUUUAGUUUACACCUUUUGUUCUCCAAAUCCUCAGAACUUUCAUUUGGUAAUUGCAAACUUGGGGGACUCUCGUGCAAUUCUAUGCACAAAAGGUGAUAAAGACCAACUUCUUGCCGUCCAACUCACAGUAGACUUGAAACCGGAACUGCCAUGUAAGGUGUUCACCCUCGACAUUACAUAUGUAGAAAGAUUAUGCAAGUAAAUAAGAUUAUAUAAACCAUGUUAUGAUGUGUCUAGGUGAAUGCGAGAGAAUUUGGAGUUGUAAAGGAAGAGUUAUGGCCUUAGAGGAAGAGCCAACUGUUUAUAGAAUAUGGAUGCCUGAUCAAGAAUCUCCUGGUCUUGCUAUGUCAAGAGCUUUCGGAGAUUUUUGCCUGAAAGAUUAUGGGCUUAUAUCAGUUCCAGAAGUUUUUUAUAGAAAGCUAACAGAGAGAGAUGAAUUCGUGGUGCUAGCAUCAGACGGGGUAAGCGUAAUCAUGUAAAAAAUUGGCAUAACCUAAGGAAGUAAAAGGAUGCUACAUGAUAGUCUUGUCUAGAAGUACUUCUAAUUCAUUAUUUUCUUCAGAUAUGGGAUGUUUUAUCAAAUGAAGAGGUGGUGCAUAUUGUUUAUUCAGCACAGAAGCGAUCCUCAGCAGCAAAACUGCUGGUAAACAGAGCCCAUCGAGCAUGGAAAUGCAAAUACCCGUGUGCCAAAAUUGAUGAUUGCACAGCAGUUUGCUUGUUCUUUAAAAAGCCAUCAUCAAUAAUCAAAUCCAAGUCUGAUACAUCCCAAAUACAAAAGUCGAGUGUGGAACCUCAUUUUCAACAGGGUAACUUAACCACUGAAGACGGUCUUGAAAGUAUCAUAGAUUCUGACAUUGCAACUGAUCAGACUGCUCAAGGAAGCUCUACAAAAAAAAAUAUUUCUACAUAUUCUCAGCGGACUGGCCUUAUGGUGAGCAAGCGUAGACCGACUCGAAACAUUGGUCUUAGACAUUGAUAAUAUAUAUAGAAAGCUUGUAGCUUUGGAAGAAAAGAAUAUGUUUCUAAGAUGAAGAAUUUCAGUUACUGAGGGAGCCAUGUCUUUUUGCUGCCAAAGGGUUAACCUAAAAUAUCAAACAUUUUUAUUGAUUUCACCCUUUAAUCCUUCUUUGUAAAAUUUUAUAACCUCAAUCUUGGUCAUUUGAUAAGACUACACAUGAAAACUUUACUAUUGUAGGGUUGCCAAGAUCAAUUUUAGCAUCCACUUCGAGCAAGUUUUUGUAUAUGUUCAUCAUAACUUCUUUUUUAUGAUAUAUUUUUUGCAGUCAAAGUUUAAUAAAAAUGAAACGAAAUCUGAGUAGCAAAGAUGUGAUGCUAACACUUUUUGGAUGAUAAAACAAUCCUUUGAUCUGAGAAUUAUAACAUUCGAUGCAUAACUUUUAAUUUCUUUUUUUUAUAACUUCGAAGCUUCAUAAUUUUAUAACCAAUUUUGUUAUAAAAGACUUUAGAGAAAUCAUUAGAAUGAAAAAAAAUUCACUCAAUACAUAAUUAAAUAUGUGUUAAAUACCUCUAGCCAGCUUCCAUGAGGAAUAUAACGAUCUUACUUAAAAGUGGUCAAAACACCUAAAAACGUGUGAUGCAUCAAAUAUUUAGUCAACUGAAAGUCUCUGUGAUAAUAAUACUACUGCACUUGUCAUUAGCUUGCCUAUGAAUAUGUGUGGAUAAGAGUUAUUAACGGCUUGUAAUUUUCAUGUCAACAUCAACCAACCAUAAGUAUAUAACUUACAAACCUACAAUCACACAUUGUAGCUAAAACUCUGCAAAUGCUAAAUUUACAACACUUGUUCUCUAGUUUACCCCUUGUACCAUUCAUGUAGUUGAGUUUUCCUCUUGGAAUAACAAAAAAAUGUCGAAUUCAAGCGAAGGCCCUCAUGGACCUAUAUAUUGUGAGAAAUUUCAAUUGCAGGUGAUCUCUACUGGCAUUUUCGCGGGUAGUAAUCCAACUCAUUCCACUUUACCCCUUCUGUUGCUGCAACUUGGUUUAGUCUCUCUAUUAGGAGGAGUCCUGCAAUUUGUAUUUAGGCCUCUCGGUGUGCCUAAACAUGUCCUUGAUAUUCUUGUAAGUUUUUUUGGUCUUUACUCCAGCCUGCAUGAAUUCGCUUAGUAUUUUGAAGUAUAUGGUCUGUGUAAAAUCUUUUCAAUAGUUCAUUGUGCAAUAUUCACUAAUAUAUGAAGUUAUAUGAAUCAGAGUGGGAUACUACUAGGUCCAUCUGGUAUUGCACGAAAUAAAAGUAUCUUCGAGACCUUAUUCGCUCCCAAAGGUGCAAUGGUGCUCGACGUCUAUGAGAUGGUGAGCACGAUACUUUUUAGUUUCUUCAUAGGCCUUAGAACUGAUGUGAAAAUCAUAAAAAGAGCAGGAGGAUUAGCACUUACCAUGGGGAUACUAUGUAGCAUUCUUCCGCAGAUAAUCAAUGCAAUCGUGCUUCGAGUUUUAACCAAAGAUAUGUCAGAUGACUCUGCUCUUAGCCAUGCAUUGACCUCUUGUGCUGGCCUCGAGGGGCUGAUUAACUUUCAUGUUGUGUAUACCACUCUUGUAGACCAGAAGUUUCUUAACACUGAGGUGGGCCGUGUAGCCCUUUCGUCUUCGAUGAUCUCGGGCUUUUGUAGUUGGAUCAUGAUUAUGGUUCGGAAGCUUUAUGAUGAUUCUGUUCGUGGUCGUAUAGCUCAGUCAAUGUUAUCACCAUUUUUCAGAGCUUUUAUGAUAGUCAUUACUGUGUAUGUGCUCCGCCCUAUUAUGUUUUGGAUGAUAAGUAGAACACCAGAAGGCAAAACCUUGAAACAAUCCUAUGUUUGUUCGAUGACACUCUUUUGUUUUGGCUUAGCCUUUUACUCCGAAAUCACUGGAAUGCACCAUGUAUUUUCAUCAAUUCUACUUGGUCUGGCUGUCCCAGAUGAUUCUCCACUACAAUCAGGGCUUGUGCACAAGCUCGAGGGAUUUGUUAACGGAGUACUUAUGCCCUCGUUUAUUAUCAAUGUUGGUAGAAAAGUCGAUAUUUAUCAACUAAAAGGGAGCUCUGUUGGAAAAGUUGAGGUUUUAGUUGCCACAAGCUUCUUGGGAAAACUUGCAUCAAGUUUAAUAGCUUCAACAUUUUGGAACAUGGCUCUAAUGGACGCCUUCUUGAUCGGUCUCCUCGUGACUUGCCAGGGCAUAUUUGAUAUCCAAUUUUUCACUAUUGCUGAGAAACUAGAAAAGGUAGCUUAGUGUUGCCUAAAUAGUUGCUACAGUUAUUUGUUUUAUGUUUUCUUUAAUUUCUUUGUAUAUUGGUGUGUGCAGAAUCUAACUAUCGAGUGCUUCACCGUAAUGGUGAUCAUGGCACUAGUUAUACCGACUAUUGUAACACCUAUAGUGGCAUACAUCUACAAUCCUUCGACAUUAUACAAAACUUCCGCAAAACGUGGUAUUCAUGCCACAAAAUACAAUCUGGAGUUCAAGAUUCUAGCCUGCAUUCAUCAAGAAGACACCGUUACAACGCUGAUCAACGUCUUGGAAGCUUCCAAUCCCACAAGAAAAAGCCCCAUUACAGCUUAUGUUCUAGACCUCGUCGAGCUUGUUGGCCAAAGCAUACCCUUAUUCAUCAGUCACAAGCUCAAGAGAAGUCCAUCUUCAAGAUCAAACAGAACUCAGCGCAUCAUUAAGGCCUUUUAUCAGUACGAGUUACAGAACCAAGAAUUUGUAACUGUUCAUUGCUUCACCUCUGUUGCACCAUUCGAGACGAUGCACAACGAUAUUUGUUUGCUGGCACUUGAAAAAGGUAAGAGCCUAAAGCUUCUAGAUAAGUCGGCAGAAUUACCAAGUCAGUUUAUAUUAAUUUCUGAAGAAUUUUAUUUCAUCAGGUACAUCAUUGAUAAUCCUUUCGCAGGGCAUGGUUACCAACUCUUCAGUAAAAGAAAUGAACAAUCAUGUCAUGGAGAAUGCGCCGUGUACAGUCGGAAUCCUAGUGGAUCGCAAGGCUCUAGGAGAGUCAAAUGCUGCAGUCUCCCCAUGGCUUUGCUUUCAUGCCUGUUUGAUCUUUAUAGGAGGUUCUGAUGAUCGUGAAGCACUCACAUACUGCAGUCGAAUGUGUGAGCAUGCCAACAUUAGCCUCACUGUCAUACACAUAACUGAACUUAUCCAAAGUCAGUUAGACUUGGAUGCCAUGGACCGGUUUAGAGAUACAAAUGUCUAUAAUAAUCGUGUAUUCUAUAAUUCUGUAACCGUGAAAGAAGGAACAGAGACAGUUCGCGCGCUUCAAACAUUGAACAAUGUCGAUUGUGAUCUUAUUGUUGUUGGCAGAAGGCAUGAUCCUGAAUCAGCUGUAAUGUCAGGGCUUGCAGAUUGGGGUGAAAAGACACCAGAUAUGGGGACUAUUGGGGAUAUCGUGGUGUCUCCAGAUAUAGAUAACAAGGCAGCUGUCAUGAUACUGCAGGCGCACAGUUUAGACCACGAAAUCGAAGUAAUUCCAACCACACCUCCACUUACCCCAAAUAAAAACUUAAAGUGUAUUACAACUGUUGAUCCUGAUAAAGAUUUGUGGCAAUUGCCUGAACUUCACUCUGAUAAAAGGUCCCCUCGAUAGUAGUUGCUAAAUCUUAUUUCUGGUUCAACUUGGAAAGCUAGUCCCCGAAGGCACUUCAAGAUGAAGAAUCCUUUCCAUGGUCUCUUUUGCAUACCAGCGCAAGAAUGUCCAUAUCCACACAAAGAGGUCAAGACUUUGUUGGCUCAUAAUAGAGGGAAAACUAUAGAAUCAGAGCUUAUGUAUCCAGUAUACCAUACAUUUAUGCAAUAAAUAUGGGAUAGCAAUAGAUGAUAGCGGCCAACAAGGCAGACCUGAGAAACCAACAAAAUUUUGCCCUUGCUGAACAAAAUCUACAAAGCUAUCCUCCAAAUCUAAAUCUACCUUACGCAUAUUGUAAUACAAUACAAUGUUCCUACUUAGUCACGAGCCUCUAGAACGGCAAGAUAAACAAGCACAAGAAUAACUUGCUACAUCUCAACUUACAAGCACAUAGUAAGCCAAGAGAAAUAGAUAAAUCAUGUCAAACACACAACCUUCUUCCUUUCUGUGGCAUUGUUUAUACAUCUUACGUGUUAUACUAGUAAGUAUACACAAUCCAGGUGCAGUAGCACUGUAGCAGUAUUAGACGAUGUGGGUAUGUUGUUACAUAAUAUACAUUACUCUUUCGGAACAAUAUCAAAUCAAAUAAAGGGCAAAAGGAUUUUCAACUGAGAUUAAUGUGUAGUAAUAGCUGUAUGGACAAGAUAUCGAUAUGCAGCUACCUUUCUUUUCCGGCCCUGUUAGAGUUAUCAACGGAGAACACCAUUUUCCCAGCUUCCUUUGUUGUAUAUGAGUUGUGAAUCGUUUCUUCUGUGACUGCCAUUUUCCUCGGUUUCUCAAUGGCAUUAGUGUUGCCGUCAGCGUGUGGCACAAAUUCAGCACUGUACUCCAACUCCCACCCUCCAACCACUAUAUCCCAUGUUAUCAUAGCACCAGCCUAGAGAUACCCGGCAAACAAAAUACUAUAGUUUAGUAAAUAAAUAUAUAUCAAGACCUUAACAUCAGAACUGCACUAAAAAUACAGUAACAACUAACAAGAUCAAUAACAUAAUUUACAUAACCUCAAGGCCUUCAAUCUGUAUGUUUACUUUCUCUCCACCGUUAAUAGUAAACUCAGAAGCUGGUUUUGGUGGAUCACUCUCUGAAUCACCCGGACGGCUUAACCUUCCAUACUGAACUGAAACCUCUUCCGGCAUAAUGUACCUAGUAUAUGAACAGAACUUUAUCACCAUACGGGAAAUAUUAUAAUUUAGAAUAUACAAAAGUGAAAAUUGCUUUACGUAGUAGACAUAGAGAUUCGAACAACAAAAUAGGUACUUUACGCGACCAAUAAAAGGUAUUUUAAUUUGAGAAACCAAUUUACUUUUAAAGUGUCUCUGUAAUAUUCCCCUCUUUACGAACAAGAAUUUGCUCUUAGUUUCCUGAGUUAGAAAUGGACUGAAUACCGAAUACAACAUACUAAAGUACCAUGGCACAUUGAUGAAAAUCUGUACACAAGUAAGCAAUUUUUCAAAAAGCAAAACUUAUAGAAUGACAAAUUAAAGACAAAAUGAAUCGACAAGAACAAGGAUACCUUACGAGCAACCAUUUCGGGGUAAUUAUCCUGAAAGAGUGACCGAACGUGGUUAGAGGUUACCCUAAGCUCUCUUUUAGGCAUGUCUUUCAGAUCAGUAACCUGAAUAAUCGAAUUUAUUCAACCAGGCUUGAAAUGCAACAACUUAACAACCAUUUCAAGAACCUGAACUCUCCAUCUCAAGAACUUCUUCAAUUUGUCAUCAUCACCAAAUAUCUUAUCAUACAUUUCCUUAUCUUUAAAAACUCCAUAUGCAUUGUAACAAACUGGAUGUCCCUCUUUAUCAUACCCACUCAUAUAAGCCACAAGCCCUUCAAGUGCUUUAAAUUCUAGAUCUUCAUCCAAAAUACAAUCAGACUUAAAAUCUUUCCUCCAAGAAAGACAUUUCAGCAACACUUGCAGAGAGUCUUGAAUUCGAAAAUCUCUAGCCCUCAGAUAUUUUAACAAAAUCACAUCAGCCUUUUCUUCUCCACCUAAAAGCUGAACACCCCACAUUGAAUCAGAGCCAUUAGGAGUUGCUUUGAGCUUUUCUUUGAGUUCUUGAAGUGAUUUUCUUUCAGAUGAUUUGAGGUGAGUUAGAUAGUAUGUGUCUUCUUUGAAAUGUGUUCUAAUUUUAGUAGUCUCUAUAAAUGAUCAAAGUUUUCUUGAAAAGAUUGGAUUUUGAUAUGGGGUUUGGUGUAUUAGUGAAAACUUAAAGAAAUUUGAUGAAACAAAUGUAAAGCUCUGAUAUUUAUAAAGAUUUAGUGGUGAAAAUAAGGUAUAUAUAGUGUGAAUAGAGUAAAGUUUCCAACUUUGAGUAAGUGAGGUUGCCAAAAAGUGUGCAUGCAAAGUCACAAAAUGGUAAUAAAUGACAGAAUGUGUGUUGUGAUGAUGCAUAAGCGUGAUUAUUGCAGAAAAAAGGGGAGGAAUAGCAAUGGAAAAACACAGGAAAUAAUUAUUUAAAAUUAGAAAAGAAAUGGAGGGAAUAUUGGGAUUUGUUAUUUGUACCCAAGCUGUUUUGGCUAGUGACAAAAUCUUCAAACCAAUCUGUUAUUUUGAACUUUAAUGUAAAACAUCUUUAAGGUAAAAAGGGAAUGUCAUACAUGCAUUACUGAAUUCAUCAUAUAAAUUUAUUUAUUUAUUAGACGUAUAGUUGUGUGAAUGAAUCGACAUGACGAUAAACGGAGUCAAAACUAUUGGUAAGUUAUUCGAGUGUGACCUGACAAAAUUAAGGUAAGUUCGUACUUGAUCGUUUUAAACCUUAUUUGAACUAGAGUUUGAAAUUGAGCUAUUUGCCCAAAAAAAUAUAAAUUUGCAAAAUUAAUGUUGUUUUAAAUUAUAUAUACAUUUUUGACAACAGUACCAGGAGUGCCUUAUUUUUUUGGGUGUCUAAAAUUUUUUUUUGCACCAUCAACUUUAAGUUGUCUACGCACUUCUGAUAAAAACUGCCAAUAAGUCUUGAAGUGUGGCCAUAUAGUUGUUAAAGUUGACAUUAGGGGCAUGAAUCAAAAACUAAUGCCUGCGCUUAGAUAUAUCACAGUUUACUUCUACUCCUAUAUAAUUUCAUUUUAAUUUCUAGAAAGAAGUUCAUAUUGAACGUUCUUUUUAAACGCUGGUAGAAGACAACGUGAUCAUGUUAAUAAUCCGGCCACAAGUGACACAGAUAUAUAGUUCUUAAAGUUCAUUCAGGUUUCAUCUUUUUCCGGGGUUCUGACUUUGGGUUCUAGACUUCACAAUAUAUUUACAGAUGAUCUCCUGUAUUGAACUCCUAGAAAGAUGAUUCCUUUUAAGUGUGAUCAGCUUUAUAACUAUACACUAUCUGCUACAUUUAGCUUCUAUUCAGUCAUCACCAGAAACAUGACAUGCCUGUGCUUCUAUUGCAUUUUAAAUGUUCUAAACUAUGCUAGAAGUUUCUUAUGUGCAUCUUAUAUGUUGUAAAAUUGACACGUUUCUCACCUGAUCACUUUUAGUGUGAAGGCGCAACAUGUCUUAGCACUUAUCUACUGUCUUCUUGGUUCUUGAAUGGUCCCUUAAAAGUGUAAAACUGGAACUAGCUAGCUUCCUAUAUUUUCGUAGUUAUUUUAUAAGUUUUUGGUGCAAUAACCAGGCAUAAGGAUCUUCAGCACCCGACAGAACACAAUGUCCAGCUUAUGGGUCUGAUAUCUUCUGAAAUCUUUACCCCGUAUUAGCAACCUGGUCAUGUGUUACUCCAACAUGCAACAGCUAGAUAGUCGUAAAAUGUAAAUACUAAUGCAUAAUUUAUAAUGUUUAAGCAAAAAUUUAGGAGUUCAGAUAAGAUUGUAGAAUGUUUCAGUGAAACAAAAAUGCAGAAUGCAAGUUUAUUAAGGUUAUUAUGGGUACAAAGGUAUGCAUUUUAUGUUAACCCUUUUAAAAGUAAAAAUCUUAUGUAUCCAUUGAAAGUCUCCCUUAUUUUUCUCUCCUUCAAUGUCACAGAAUUAAUACCAUAAAUUUAUACUAGCCCCCCUCUCAAAUUUCUGUCCUUAAAACUUUAUUAAUCAAUAGAUAAUGGCUUCCAAUUCGCAACCUGCAAAUCUCCCUCCCAUAAUCACCCAAUCCAGUGCAGCCCCGGGCGGCUCCGUAGACCCCCAACCCCCUGUUGCAAACCCUGCAGUACGUGCAUUUUUCACCAACAUUUCUGAAACAGUCCGCCAACGCCUGGCAGAUCGUCGCCCAUGGUCAGAGCUUUUUGAUCGCUCUGCAUUCUCGAAACCAGAGUCUGUUUCUGAUGCCACGGCUCGCAUUCGCAAAAACUAUGCCUAUUUCAGAGUGAAUUACCUAUCUCUCAUUGCCCUGGUAAUGGCCUUUUCCCUUGUGACGCAUCCUUACUCUCUCCUCCUCCUCCUCGGCCUCCUCACCGCAUGGCUCUUCCUCUACCUUUUCCGCCCCUCUGAUCCUCCACUUGUCAUUUUCGGACGUACUUAUUCUGAAAGAGAGACCUUAGGAGUUCUGGUGUUAAGCACAAUUGUCAUAAUUUUUCUAACAAAUGUUGGCUACGUCCUUAUAUCUGCAUUGAUGGUGGGAAUGGCUAUUGUUUCUGCGCAUGGAGCCUUUCGGGUUCCUGAAGAUCUGUUUCUUGAUGACCCUGAUUCUGCAGCAACUGGAUUCCUCUCUUUCCUAAAAGGCGCCACUGCGGCGCCACCAGCGGCUCCUGUAGUAACAGCUACUGUUCGCGUUUAGACAUUCCGCAUUGAGUAAAUCACAAUGUGAAUAUUUUAGUUUUCGGUGCUUCAGAAUUUUUCAAUUCAUCAAUUUUUUUAAGAACUAGCAUAUUAUCAUUUUUAGUACCCAUCUCAUUGUAUUUUAUAUUUGAAUCGUAGUCAGUCUGUUUUUCGGUUUAAUGAUAGAUGUUCUUAUUGGUUGUGAAUUUUCGCUAUUUGAGAUGGGAUAGAGUACUAAAUAAUGCCUGAGCGUGAUGUAUGAUCUGAAAAUCUAGAAGCAUAUCAGAAAUAUAUCUGCAGUAGUACGUUCUGUGUUUCAGAUUUUUGUCCUGCAGCUUAAAUAAUUGAAAUUAUCAUUGAUCCAUAUGAAUUUUCAGCUUGAUUGUAGAUUAGUACUUGGGUCACUUGGCACCUCCAUCCUCUUAAAGUGAUUCCCUUAGCCUCUACAUGUACAUGGCAAACGAGCUUGCAUCGGAGGAGUCAAGCCAUAUUUUUUAAAUGCCCGCUUACCUGUGAGGUGUCAUGGAAGAAGGCCCCGUAGAAGUGGAAAGAGGGCUCACAGCAUUGUGGAUGCUCUUAGAUUUGCAGCAGGACAUUAAUGAUUAUAGAUUGGCCGAAUUGCAUUGCAUUGCGUGUUACUGUUAGGAAGAUUUCUUGGAUGGUCUUGUUACAUGAAAAUCAAGAAAUCUUAUUUACUGAUGCUCUAUAUCCAUGGAUCAUUACAAAAGAAGAUAAACCAAUUAAAUGGAGUCCUGUAUCAAAGAAACUAAUAAUCUCACCAUUUCUGAAAGAUCUGGAGUUGUAAACUUAUGAUUUCAACAAUCCUGAAAGAUCAGGAGUUUCUGUUGUUGGUCUAGAUUUUGCGAACAUAAUGGUAAUGUACUGUGAAGAAAGAAUGCCUUGGACUAGGGAAGGUUAAAAUAUCAGUUUUUAAUUUGGGGAAGAAAAUACAUUUCACCUGAUGAUGCUUGUGCAGACUCAACUUCUACCUAGAUUUUGAGCACUUUUUAAUGAGUAGGCUUAUAGAUUCAUAAACUAAUAUUUAUUCUAAUAAAUCUUAAGAUAGGAUGAACGAGAAUUAAAUAUAACAGAGGAUAAACUUUUAUCACUAGGCUAUCUCAUCACGCUCACCCAAUAUUUUAUAUAAAAGUGAAAUCCGUAAUCACAACAAAAUUUUGGUUGCUUUGAUAAUUCCUGAAUGCUGAUAUCCACAUUCCAAAGUCACGAGAUCACGUAAGUUGGCUCUUAAAUUUCUAAUCUUUAGUAGUAAAAUACCAACAUGCAAAAACAUAAAUUCCCAGAUUUCAAUUUCAGUUCUAUCCGCCAUAUUUCAAAUAGAUUUUCAUAACUAUUCAUACUUGAUAAAAUUACUGAGUUAUUUUACCAUAUCCGAAAUUACCGAAAGUGAUUCAACUUCUGUUACCGAGGAUCGAUGGUUAUGUCGAAAGUAGUAUUUCCAAAUCCAAACUAGUCCAUAUAGACGUUAUUAGCAAGUAAAAGUGAAAUUAGCAGUCAAGGUUACAUGUUGCAACGUCCUCUUUGAAACUGACAAUUUGGGUCACAUAAAAACAUAAAAUACUAUGAAACUAAAAUAAAAACAAAGAAAAUGAAUGUUUUUAUCAUCACCCACCUUAAAAAGAGCCGUUAGUGUGUCCCAUGACAUGUGAGUUCAUUAAGAAUUAUUAUGAGCUGAAGAAAGUAGCCGUUAGUUUCAAACAAAGACUCAGUAAACUUAACCUAAGAUUCUCAUUUUACAUUUUCACAUGCUUUUUGUCAGUCUCCUCAACUCACCCACCUCUCCUCUUAUAUUAUCUUCACACUUUUUAUUUUGUACUAUAUUUUUGCAGUGAGCUUCUAAGUUGUAGCUUCUAAAGCUAAAACCCCUGUCAAAAAGUUGUGCAAGAUCACAUCUUUUUCUAAACCCAUCUCAGAUCACUCACUUCUUCAGUCAUUUCCAAGUUGUUGUUGGAUGGAAAUCUUGUGUCGGAAAUCGGGCUGGAGUUUUCGGGCCAAGAACAAGAAUUUGAACAUUUUUUCAUGUUGUGAUGCUAAAUUUUGGUUUGUUUUUCUUGUUUUGAUUUUGUGUUUUUGUGCUGUUUCAGGGAAAUCAUUUGAUGGGGUGAUUGUGACUCAAGGUGAUCAUCAAGCACUUAAGGCUAUCAAGCAUGAGCUAGUUGAUUUCAGAGGUGUUUUGAGGAGCUGGAAUGACAGUGGCAAUGGAGCUUGUUCAGGUAGCUGGCAAGGAAUCAAGUGUGUUAAUGGUCAAGUCAUUGCAAUUCAGCUUCCUUGGAAGGGAUUAGGAGGAAGAAUCUCCGAAAAAAUCGGGCAGCUUCAAGGGCUUCGGAGGCUUAGUCUUCAUGACAAUUUUCUUAGUGGUCCUGUGCCUAAUUCUCUUGGCUUCCUUCCAAAUCUCAGAGGGGUUUAUCUCUUUAACAAUCGGCUUUCGGGUUCAGUUCCUGCAUCAAUUGGUAACUGCCCUUAUCUUCAGAAUCUUGAUCUCAGUAAUAAUCAACUCAUUGGUACUAUUCCUCCUAGUCUUGUUAAUUCUACUAGGAUUUAUAGACUGAACUUGAGCUAUAAUGCAAUUUCAGGUUCGAUACCCAAUAGAUUCACUUAUUUUCCUUCACUCACAUUUCUUGCUCUAGAACACAACAAUCUUUCUGGUUCUAUACCUAAUACUUGGGGUUCGAAUACGAAUGAUUCUUACCAGCUUCAGUCAUUGACCCUUGACCACAAUCUCCUUUCUGGAAAUAUUCCAUCUUCUUUAAGUAGAUUGAAUAAUCUCCAAGAACUUAGUUUGAAUCAUAACCAGAUUGUUGGAACCAUACCUAGUGAACUAGGGAGCCUCUCCAAGCUUCAAAUGCUAGAUUUAUCGAACAAUGCAAUCAAUGGAAGCCUUCCUGCUAGUUUUUCCAAUCUCACUUCUCUUGUGUCACUAAAUCUAAAGGCCAACCACCUUAAAAAUGAAAUCCCAGAAGCCCUGUUUAAAUUGCAUAAUCUUACUGUCCUAAAUCUGAAGAACAAUGAGUUUGGCGGUCCAAUUCCAGCCAGUAUUGGAAAUCUAUCUAGCAUUUCUGAACUUGAUUUAUCUGAUAACAUUUUUGGUGGAGAAAUUCCCAACUCAAUAGCUGAUUUGCCAAAGCUGGUUUCUUUCGAUGUUUCAAACAAUAAUUUGUCUGGGGAAGUUCCUUCUAAGCUUCUAGACAAGUUUAAUUCAAGUUCUUUUGUUGGUAACAUCCUGUUGUGUGGAUUUAGCCCCUCAACACAAUGCCCUUCUCCCCCACCUCAACAGCAAUCACCACCGCCAUCUUCAUCACAGGCUUCAAACCAUCGAAAAAGCAAAGGACAUAAAACCAAAGAUAUCAUUCUUAUAGCUGCUGGUGCUCUACUACUUGUCCUACUUGUUUUGUGCUGCAUAUUGUUAUGUUGUUUAAUCAGGAGAAAGAGUAAAGCGAAAGCGACUAAAUCAGCUGGCCCAGCUGGUAUAAAAUCAGUUCCAGCCGUGGGAACUGAUGUUGAAUCCGGUGACACUGGAGGGAAACUAGUCCAUUUUGAUGGCCCAUUUGUGUUUACUGCCGAUGAUUUGCUAUGUGCAACUGCUGAGAUAAUGGGAAAGAGCACUUAUGGAACUGCUUAUAAGGCGACAUUAGAGGAUGGCAAUCAAGUAGCGGUGAAAAGGCUAAGAGAGAAAAUAGCCAAAGGACAGAAGGAAUUUGAAGCUGAAGUUGUCACACUUGGAAAAAUUAGACACCAAAACAUACUGGCUCUUAGGGCUUAUUAUAUGGGACCUAAAGGAGAGAAGCUUCUUGUUUUCGAUUACAUGUGUAAUGGGAGUCUUGCAUCCUUCCUCCACGGUUAGUAUUCUAUUUACUCCUUUACGACUUCAGUCCUUGUUAUGUUUCUAUUAUUCAGAAUUACUGUGAUCUUAUAUUUUACCAAAUGUUUGAUACAAAUGUGUCAUGGUGCAGCUCGAGGUCCUGAAACCGCAAUCCCCUGGCCAACAAGGAUGAAAAUUGCAAUGGGAAUAACAAAGGGCCUAUGUUUCCUCCACUCCAAAGAAAACAUAAUUCAUGGGAAUCUCACAUCAAGCAACAUAUUGCUGGACGAGCAAAACAAUCCUGCCAUCGCAGAUGUUGGCCUUUCAAGGCUCAUGACAGCUGCUGCCAACACCAAUGUAAUUGCCACAGCAGGUACACAAGGUUACUGCGCACCUGAGCUCUCAAAGCUGAAGAAUGCCAGCACAAAAACCGACGUCUACAGCCUCGGGGUGAUCAUCUUGGAGCUCUUAACAGGAAAAUCACCUAGUGAAGGCACAGACGGUGUUGAUUUACCACAAUGGGUUGCAUCCAUUGUGAAGGAAGAAUGGACUAAUGAAGUUUUCGAUUUGGAACUUAUGGGGGAUGCCUCAAACACAAAUGUGAGCGACGAGCUUCUCAACACUCUGAAAUUAGCCCUUCACUGUGUUGAUCCUUCACCAGCUGCACGUCCAGAAGCCCAAGAAGUUCUCCAGAAACUCGAAGAAAUUAAACCAGAACUGGCAGCAGCUCCAAGCACAACUACUACAACUGAUGAAGGUCCUGAAAUUCCAACAAAAACUGAAUGAAGAACAAACAAUGCAGAUCACAUACAAAUACAGCACAAUACUUGUAAAAUAUAUAUAGAAAUACAGAUCACAUUAGUCCCUUGCAUAGUUACAUAUACAUGUAUAUAGUAGUGAUCUGAGCAAGUUACAUUUCAUUUCUUCAAUUCUUUAGCAGAUGCUUUACAUAUUAUUGUUCAAUUCAUUAUGGUGUGAUAUCAGAAUAAAAAUACAUUCUUUUCUUUCAAAUGUUGGUUCAAGAUUAUCAGAUAGUUGCAAAGAAUUUUCCUUUCAUGUAAUCUAAAUUAUACUUUUUUGACUUUGUAAAUUGUAAUCAAUAAAUUUGUAAUUUUAUCUCGAUAAAAUCUAUUCAACUCGAUCCAAAUUUGUUAAACCUAACCCAAUUAGAACUAAACCAGUAGAGAAGAGCAAAGACAAAGUAUUGUAUUGAAUGAAUUGUGACUUGAAUUGUGAGUUACAUGUUCAUGGUUUAUAAGAUCGGUUAAGAGGAAUAAGAACCUCAAAUCUAUGUGUUGGUAUUUGAAUUGACAAUUUUAUAAUAAGGAAUGAGAACCUCAAUUCCACUAGGAGGUGAAUCAUUCCUUAUACUCGGAUACUCAUUCUCAUACUCUUCAUUCCAAUUUCCUUCAUUCCCAUUUUCGAUUCCAAUUCUCACUCAUGAUUGAAAAAACCUCGUAAUAUGUGAAUGUCUAUUAUUAGAGGCGAGUAUUCGGUCAGUUCGAUCUUAUAUAAUAUGUAUUAGUUGUGAAUAUUCGGUUGGUUCGGUCCAAAACCGGACCAAAUGGACCGAAAAUUGAAAUUUCAUUUUUUUCCUGGACCGAAAUUUUAUAAUGGACUGAAUUCAAAUAAUUCAGUUCGGUCCGUUCCCGACCAAAAGAAUCGAAUGUUUUAUAAAAAAAACGUAUAUUAUAAUUAAAACUAAAAUUAAUGAUUCAUUAAAAAAUAAUAUUAAAAAAUCACAGUACUUCAUCAAAGAUAAAUAUAAUUAAAUUUACAAAUUAGAUAUUAUAAUUAUAGAUUAUAAGAUAUACAUAUAUAAAUUUAAAUUUAAAUUUAUAUUAUAUAAUGUUGACUAUUCGAACUAGACCGUAAUAUUUUUUUUUUAAAAUUGAAAUGAGCUAAAAUUAAACCGAAUUUUUAAGAAAUUAGGACUCAACAGAACCGAAUUCACACACGAUGCCGCCGUUCGAUUUUGCUCACCUUGUAUAUACAUAAUCUAACCAACUUCCAAAUGAGAGAUUUACUUGCACACUUGGAAUAUAAAAAAUAUACAGAAUAAUUAAUCAUCUAUGUAAUGUCAAGUGUCAACAAAAUUCGAGUCUAAUCCUCUCCAAAACGAGAUCUCACAAACACAUUAAACCCGACUUUUUUUUUUUUGAUUAACAUUAAACCCGACUUAUUUCACAAGAAUAGUUCAUGUCCAAAUUCGAUAAAUUAUAACUCCAUUCGAUCUGAUUUUAUUUAAUAACCUGAACUUUAAAAAUCGAGUAGCAUGUUGGCUAUUUUAAUAUAAGGGUUAUGUUUAGAUUAUUUCAGAUUAUGAUUCAUGAGUGUAUUUGUGAUUUUGUGAUUUUUUUUUUUUUGUCAUAAGACUUUCACGUCAGUGAAUUGUACCGAAAUACAAUACCGAAAAAAUCGAAAAAGCUUUUUUCAUACAUAAAAACUUUCAUCUAACCAAAGGGCAUGUCAAAAAACCCCACAAAAAACUAGAUAAAAAUUUAUGAUGCCUGAAAAAAAACAAUAUCCGCGGAACUAUGAAGAAAGGAGAACUUUCAUUCAAAAAAGUAUAUCGACUAACCGAAGGUCAUGCACAGAUGACUCCGAAAAUUUAGCCAAUAAAACUUUAAUGACCGAGAAGAAAACCCAGAAGAAGAACAAAAAUCCGCGGAAAGGAAUAAAAUAAGGUGUAGAGGAAAAAAGGAGGAAGAAAGAAAGAAACAAGUAUGAAAGAUUAUGCUAGGCACCAAAACAAAAUCAUCUAAAAUGACACAAUCGUUAAAAUAAUGACAACCAAAAUCGCAAUAUACGAUCAAGAAGCCAUCAACCAUGACUAUCCCUCAAAAGGAACACAAAAAUUCAAACUAAAGAUACAACAUGUCCAAAACACAAUUUACGAUACAAAGUCUUAUAAAUCUAGCAAUAAACGAGACACAAAAUUCAAUUACGAAAAUAUAACCAAUAACAAAGGACAUGAGACAAAUACAUUUAAAAACAGUAAGAACAAAGAUUUUGAACUCAUACCAUUGUCGUGGGGUCAAUUCACACGAUCCUUACCUUACCGAAUAUAAAUAUAUGUAGAUACUGGAAAUGGCUAAAACUAAAUCGCAGUCGCUAACUCGUCAUUGACUCAUCCCAAUUGAUACAUCACCAAAUCAAAAUCUUGAAAAUCGAGUAGAUCUAAUUUCCAAGUACAGAUCCGUUGGGGAGUAUUAUUGAGAAAAUAAGAACAAAUCAAAAGAAAUUAACUGAUUCGGAGUUUUUCAUCGGAGAAAAUCGAUGAAACCUCCGACGGUGGCUAGAUAGGAAGAGAGAGUUUGAGAAAAUCGAUGAAACCUCCGACGGUGACUGAGAUGUUGUGACUUUGAUUAGUUUGAAACUUGUUAAAUACUGUCCGUGCUAAUAUGAUCAUGCUUGGCUGCCAUCAAUUGUAUGUGUAUAAAUUACUUUCCUUAUUAAUACUGUGCUUAAUUGAUGCUUUAGGCCGAAUUACAAACUGAAAUUUUGUUAUAUAUAUAGUUGAAUGCUUGACAUGGCUGUAUUAAAAUUUCUACAUGAUCCUAUCCAAUUGGCCACAGAAUCUAUAGUAUAUGCUAUGUCAAUAUGAAUUUUGCUUUGGAUACAUUAAAAGAUGGCUCUGACAAAAAAAAAAAGAUGGCUCUGAUUUGUUAGGUGAUUACAAUUGAUAAGAGUUGAUAAUUAUUUAUUAUGUGCAAAAGAUUGAUAUGUGAAUUCUUGCAAAAUUAGUGAUGAGAGUCAUGAAUUUGGUAAAAUUCCAUGAUUCCUAAUGUUAUGAGCUGCCCUAUGGAAUCUGUUAUGUAGUUAAGUGUGUUAGUCUCAAUUAGACGUAGAAGGGGGUUUGAAAUGAAUGUUCAUCUCAUUUCAAUUGCGGAAUACUUCUGUUUAGUUAGUCUAUCAAUCAUAAUAAAAUAACUCCAACAAGUUCGGGGAUAUUCUUGUAUUUGAAAUAAUACUUGGGUGCUACAAAUCCAACACAAGGUCGGCUAAAGAGACUACUGAUCAUACUUCACACAAACGCUCGUCCAUUUUCUAUGUUCGUACUUAGGAGUAUGUGUAGAGACUAGAGAGUGUGUGCACUUUACAAGUGGAUAGUUAUUUUCAAAUGAAAACACAAAGCCCUGUUUAUAGACUUCAACAUUAACCAUGACUAGCUGAGUGAUCCCGGUUCUGCGAGAAUGAUCCCGGUUCUGCGAGAACGAUCACGGUUCUGUCUCAGUGAUCUAGGUUCCCUUGGAGUGAUCUUGGUUCUGUAAUUUAACGAAGUAUGGUUACGAGAUGGACUUAUAAGUAUUUUUUGAAAAAUUGUUUGGUGACCCUUAAGAUUCGAAUCCUAGAUAUGCGUCCACCCCUCUAUGUGCCAAGUGAAGAAUUUUUGUGCCAAAUAUAUGAUUGCAACAAUGCUAUUCAAAUCUUUUAUUCACAUGAGAUGGGUUGUAUGAGGUUCAAAUAUUAUUCGAGUUUUUGGAGUCUACAACUAUUAUUAUUAGAUUACAUUAUGAUCAUGUGGAUAUGGAUUAAAGCAGAACAAUUUAUUUUAGUAUUAAAAGAAUAUUUUUGUAUGCCGCAUACAUAUAAGUAAAUACAUAUAUAAAGACUUUAUAACAAUAUAUUAAAUAACUACACAUCCCUAGCAUACAUCUAUGAAACCUCGUUAUUCGGUUUGUAAGUCCUAUCUAUUUAGCAUCAUUUUUUUUUGUUUUUUAUUAGAGUAGUUUUUGAAAUUUAAAACUUUGGAAUAUACUAGUUGGAGAGGGACGAUGAAAGAUAUUUGGAGGACUUGCAAGAUAAUUCAUUUAUAUCGUGUCCUUCAACUUGCGUUUUUAAAGAUAUUUGUAAAGCAUAAUGUAACAUAAUGUAAUAGCGAUAAGUCAACACUAUAAUAGAAUAGGAAACAAUAUAUAAGUAUGAUACAUGAAUCAACAGGUUGGAGAUCCGAUACGAGCAGACAAAGACAAUCAAGAUAUCUGAGAUGAACAUACGUCCACUGAAAGAAGUUCAUUAAUAUGUUCAAGCCUUGGUGAAGAAUAAAGUUCAAGUAGUUUCUGCUAUCGAAGAUUUCCUGACAAUCAAGUUUCAAGAACCAGAAGACCCCAGUAUAUCUAUUCUGAUUAUUCAUAAUUAGUUUUUACCGAAACAACAUCAAACCCGGAUUAACUGAUCAAGUAUUUCAUCAAGUCAAAAAUACGAAGAAUCGCUUUUGUAUUAGUCGUUCGUGAACCAGACCAGUGCACAGGCUGUCAGUACGUACGGAGUUGUUCGACGCGUUUAAUAAACGGAUAAUUGAUCAAGUCACAAUUGAGUUGUUCCCGAGUCAAAGAAAAGUCAAGCCUUUUAAUGGAAGCCAAAUCAAAAAGCGGCGCCAAAUAAUUAAAUUCAAAUAAUACUACCUAUAUGUAUAUUGGUUGUUGGCGCCACUUGAAUUAAUCCUAAAAGAAUUCAAGUGUGUGCUAAUAGUUUAAUACAUAUGUAUAUAUGUAUAUAAUGCUAAGUGGCGCCACUUAGCUUGAUGGUGUGAAGAGUGAUAACAAGGCACAUAGGAGACACAUGCACCACUUGGAGUUAAAUUAUUUUCACUCUAAGUAAAGAAGUGAAGUGGCGCCAGUCACUCCGUGUGAGGCGCCACUUUAAAUCAAUUCAGAUCAAAGGAGUGAUAUCAAGGGGGACCAAGGCUUCAUGGCACCACUUGUGAAGGUGCAUGGAGUAUUGGAUGAGUGAGGGAGUGGCGCCACUGUGUACCACUGUGAGGCGCCACUUGGGUUUUAAAAGUGAUUUUCUCUGAGGCAAAACAUCCUUUUCUUCCAAGAGUCUCGGAGGCGCCACUUAGAAAUACAAAUGGCUAACACUUGCGCCAUUGAAGUCUUAAACCAUCCUUAGUUAAGCAUUACAGAACCUGGAUCACUUGGAUCAUUUGAUCGGCCUUGGUUAAAUUAGAGAACCUGGACCACUUGGACAAAUUAACCACACAUGGUUAAUCUACGGAACCAGGAUCACUACUCAGAACUGGGAUCACUCAGCUAACCAUGGUUAGAUGUUGAAGCCUAUAAAUAGAGCCUUGUGUUUUCAUUUCAAAAUAACUACACACUUUGUAAAGUGCACACACUAUGCACAUACAAGAGCGAUGAUAGAAUAUCCGUUAUUAAUUACGAGCGUUUGUGUGAAGUGUGAUUUGUAGUCUCUGUAGCUGAAAUUUCUGUUGAAAUUUGUAGCACACGAGGUUUAUUUCUAAUACAAGAAUAUUCCCCGAACUUGUUGGAGUUGUUUCACGAUUGACAUACGAACUGAACAGAACUAUUCAACAAUCGAUUUAAAAUGACGAAUUGGUAUAAGACGUAUUCAACCCCCCUCCCUUCGACGUCUAAUUGGACCUGACAAUAUGUAUCAAACGUUAAGCAUGCAAUUCAUAGUUCAUUUUCAUAUAUAAAGUUUUUGUGUUUAUAAAUUUACUUUUUUUUCAAAUGUGCCUCAAUUUUUUAUCUUGUAAAGUUUGGUAAUUGUGUCUAUAACUUUAGUGAUUUUGCAUUAAUUAAUGCUUAGUUAGUUAAUUGUGUAUAAAAAAAUACAUUAUCGUAUACAAGUACAUGGAUUGUAUAUAUAAAGUAAAUAAUAAACAAAUAUCAGAGUAUGAGGAUAGUUUUGUGAUAAUAAAAAGAAUGGUGAAAAUCAUUAACUCCAAUACUCCACCAAAAGUGUGAAUUUCGUAUAACUUGAUGGAUAUACAUUUUUGUUAUAAAAGUACGCUUUAUCUUAUGGUCCAUUUUAGUUUCAUGAGUUAUAAGUCAUUUAAAUCUAUCGGAAAUUUCCACACCUCCGAAUAUCUAAUACCAAAUCUCGUCUGUAUUCUUAUUUUUUAAUAAUAAACCUGGCUAUUUUUAUGAUAUUUAUUUUAUGACCUCGUUCGUUAGCUAGUUCGAGAUUCCAAGUAAUUAAUCUAAAAUUUGAUGAAUUAUUAAUCUAAUUUUUUUAAUUUUUGAACAAAAUGGGUCAAUAUGUAUAUUACUACUAACUGAAUGAUAAUGCAGUGGGCAUAACAUUUUCAGUUAUGGCCUUGUUUAGAAGUUAGAAGUUUGGAAAAAAAAUAAAAGUUUGGGCCGUGACCAAGAGAAUCUUUUAAUUUUUGAAUUUGGCAGUUAACGGAUGAAACAGCUGUUUUCUCUCAGAAAAUUAAUUUUCAAAAAAUUAUUUUGUGGAGAUUUCCGGUUUGAGAUAUGUGGAUAUCUAUGAUGCAAAAAACUAAUUAAUCAGCCAUGUUCCAAACAAUUUUAUACAAAACAUUUACUAUGAUCGGCGAGUCAGGAGAGGUGAUUCUAAUCGCAAACCGCUGAUUGCCAAAUAGGUACCGUAUAUUUUUCACCAACCGUUAUUUGUCUACAUAUUUUAUCAUUAAACUAUAGUAAUACAGAAUUACAAAAUAGGGCCCACGAAUUACUGCGGCCUCCAAAUACCUUUACAACUUACCACCCAACUGCUCUAUAUAUACCUUCUCAAACUAGAGAUUAACCCUCCAUAAGAUUUCACUCAAUUUUCAGAGAAAAUUACUGAGAGAGAGAGAGAGAGAGAGCAUUAUUUAUCAAGCAGUAAUGGCUUCUGAGAAUCCAGAUGACAGGUGAAUUUCUUUCUAUUAUUCUUCAAAUUUUCUUCUCAUUUGUGAAAAAACCCCGUCAAGAGUAUUUAUGUAUCUCCUUUUCAUACACAUCAAUUUCAAAUUUUACUCUGCAUCUUCUUCUUAAUUCUUAUGUUGGAUGACAUGUGAGGAAACAUGUUCAUUCUUACCUGCAUUUGUGUUUCUGUUGUACUGAUGAUUUUACAUUAUUUGAUAUUGUAAAAUGCCUAGUUUGACAAAAUUUGAAUAUACCAAUGACAUUCGCAAAAAUACAUGAUUAGAUUGAGUAAUCAAGAUAUGUAUAUUUUUCAAUAACCAAGAUGAUAUUGGAAGUUUUAUUAUGAUUGAAGAAUGUACAUCUAUGCUUAUGUGUGUGGAAAUAAUCGAUUUAAGAAUUCUUAUACUUAUGGCAUUAUUUUUUUCAACUAAGAUGAGAAUGUGCAUUAAUUAGAUAAGAUGAAUUAAUAAAUUUUAUAAUCUUUUUUUAAUUUCUUGGAGCAGAAAGGAGUUUGAUCCCUUAGUAUACGGGUCGAAAAUGCCUCACAAAUUAUAUAAAGGUGUUUACGAAAAAAAAGGUAAAGAGAAGUGGUAUGCACAAUGUUCACAUGGAGGAGAGAAUGCAUACAUUGGUACUUAUAACACAGAGCUUGAGGCAGCUCUGGCUUAUGAUAAGAGAGGUAGAGAGCUGAAACGUCCCGAAGAAAAACUUAAUUUCCCGAAAUUUCUUACUGAACAUAAUCCACCAGCAGCUACCGAGCCGGCAUUGCCCAUAACAAAUGCAUUGUCCAGUAGUGUACAGGUCAAUGUACCUUCAGGCAGCUCAAGUUCUAAUGCUGGAAGAGGAGAAAAAAGAAAGCAAAUUACUAUCUCUAAAGAAGAAUAUGAUGCGUACCUUCCAUAUCAUGAAGCUAGGAAAAUAGAAUUCGCUCAACGUGGACGGAAUGUCUCGGUCAGUGGUGUAGCCAUCAGGUCUCAGUCUGCAAAUAUUUCGAGUGCUAUAAUGGAAUUGAUUGGAAACCCUGGAGAGUUCAAAGAUGUGCCAGAUGAAGAGUUAUUAAGCGACGCUGAAAAAGAAUUCGUGGAGAGCUUACUCAACCAGGGCACCUCGUCAGACGACGGCAAGCUCUCUUAGUUGGCACAACAAGCUAGAGCUUCCAGUUGAUUAAUAGUGAAGUUUGGCGUUUCAACAUUAAUAGAUUACUUUUUCAUGUUCCCCCAGGGAUAUCCAAUUAAACAAAAGGUUAACAGUCAUUUUUGCUUACUGUUCUUACAAACUAGGAGUUUUGUUCAUGAGGCGAUAUGUUUUUCUUGUGGUAGUACUGUUUGUUUCUCAACAAGAAAUUUAGACAUGUAAAUGAAGGUCAAAUUACUCCAUUACAGAUAUGCGACAAUCUUUGUUGGUUAAUCGAAAUAGAAGUAUCAAGAACGAAUGAAUUCAUUGCACCACUCUUUUUUCAACUUUCUCGAAUAUAUGAUGAGUAAUGUACAACUUAUUUCCAUGACCACCGUCCACCUAAUAUCUUUACAAAAUAUAUAGUUUAUUAAUUUUGAACUUAAUAUCUCGGUUUUUUACCACCAAACAUAUUUUCAAUCUAUUACAGCCCAACUGAAUUUUGAACUUAAUAAUAUUUAAGGAUUAGACAGGUUAUAUAUUACAACAAGUUCAGUUCGCGUUUGAUUUUUAAUAUUUAAAUAGAGAUUCAUAUGAAAAUACAUGGCCAUCUAAUAUAUACAAAUAUUUAUACCUUUUAUAAAAAAGUGAAACCUGAAAAGAAAUACUAUACGAGAGUACCAAAACUCGGUGGUCAUCAUAUAAUUUUUUUCAUUUAAUAAUUAUAAUUAUUAUAUUAUUAUGAAAAAACUUUCAUAUUGAUUACGAUUAACUAAUAGAAUAAAUAUAUAAUAUGUAAUUUAAGUUUGGUCAAACUGUAAUUUGUGGACUUUGAAAUUUUAAUUAUGUAAUAUGUAACGCAAAAUUGUAGAAGGUUAACUUCAACGUGAAGCCGUUAACCGAAUUUGUAAAGUACUGGCGAACUCUUUAGCAAAACCAUUUCAAUUUUUUGUUUUCUAAAGGUUUAGUUUUCAUGAAUUAACAUAAGUUUUUAAUUCAUUAUAUUUUUAAAUUUGAUAGUUACGUGAUCCAAUUAAAAUUAUUUAAAAUUAUAAAUUUAAAUAUAAUUAAAAUUUGUCAAACAUUCAUUUAAAUAAAUAGGAUCAAAUACAAACUAAUCAUUUGUUAUAUUUCUUUAUUAGCAACAUACUAGUUUAUAACCCGUUUCAUGGAAGAGUGAUUUAUAAGAAUUAUUAUUUUAUUAUAUAUAUUUUAUAUUAAAUUUAUUUUCAAGAUAAAAUUAUGUUGAAAUAAUAGGCAUUUUUUAAUUAAUAUAGAAUUUAAAUAAUUAAAAAUAAGUUCCUAAGAUUGACUAAUUAAAAUUUUGUCCAAAUAGAUAUGUUUCAGUUAGAAUGUUUUAAUACAUUUUAAUUAAAAUAAAAAGCCUUAUCAAAACAUGUUAUAGAUUAUAGAGGCACAUAGACCAAAUUAACGACCAAUAAUACAUCAAUAAUUUUUAAUAUUUUAAUUUUAAUUGUAUAGUAUAAAUGAAAAGGUUAAAUAUAUCUUAAUUUAAAUAAGAAAAACGUAUUAAAAUAUGUGUUAUAGAUUCUAACAUUCUAAUAUUAGAUAACCAAAUAUCUCAGAAUUCAUCAGAGAAAAUAAAUUCUAAUAUUUUAUAUGUUUAUAAUUAUAUUUCAUAAAUUUAAGAGGAAACUAAAUAAUUCAAAAUAAAAUAAUGCAAAUAGUUACCUUUCAUUUUGUUCACUAUACUUGAACUUAAUAUCUCUAAUAAUAGUUUAGAUUUCAAAAUAUAUUUCUAAUAAAUAAGAAUUGGUAUUUUUCCAGAAUUACACUUUUAAAUAAUAGUUUUAUUUAAAAAAUAAAAUUAUUAUGAAAGAAUAAGAAAGUAUAAGGAAAAAUUUUAAGAAAAUAUAAUUUUAAAAUUUAUUUUAAUCGAUACUCAUAUUAUCAAAAAGAUAUAAAAAUAUAGGAUUUUCGAAUAAUUUUAUCUGAAUUAAUUUAUUAUUACAAGCAUUAAGAAUAAUCAAAAUUAGAAUGUUGUAAUUUAAAUAAAUUUAUAUAGAUAUGAUUAAAAUUAGGAGAAAAUACCCUAAAUAAUAUACUUUUCAAAUGUAACUACCUCAAAUAUAAAUUUUCAUCUUAUGUGUCUAAAAUACCCACUUUGGAACACGCAUAUUUAGUAUGCGUAUACUUAAGUUAAACAUAACGACCCAUACGUUGCAUUCACUUUGUUCUUGAGGAAGCAUGAUACUUGGUCUGGGUUUUCUUUCAUAUUGCUCGUGCGCUUUAUUUUUGGAUAUAUAGGACCACACAUCCAUUAUAUGAACAUGAAUUUAAUUGUCAUGAUAUGCCUAACUAUAUAAAUAUAAAUUACAAUUACAUGUUAUUUAAAACUAGCUUAUAACCCGUGCAAUGCACGGGCGGUUAUAAUAUUUUUUAUUUUUCGGCCCAAGUACCGAUCGACUGACCGACCGACCAAAUUUCAAUGUUUCAGCUUUAAUAAUUUAAUAGAUAAUAAAAAAAAUAUUAUAACAUAUUAUGAAUUUAAAUACCAACCGGAUCAUCAAACUCGAGAGACCGAUCGACCGACCAAUUGAACUUUUUUUGUUUCAGCUUUAAUAAUUUAAUAGAUAAUAAAAAAAAUAUUAUAACAUAUUAUGAAUUUAAAUACCAACCGGAUCAUCAAACUCGAGAGACCGAUCGACCGACCAAUUGAACUUUUUUUGUUUCAGCUUUAAUAAUAUGAUAAUAUAGUAUAUCAUGAAUUGAUAAAUUACUUUUUAAAGUGAGAUCAUCAGAGAAUUUAAAAAUGAUGUUGAUGUAUUUUGGUUGAAAAAUAUCACCGGUUAUUUAUUAAUAAUAUAUAUAUAAUAACAUUAUAUUUUUAUAUAUAUGUUGCCCGUGUUAAUUAGAAGAUAGGUUUUUUUAGUUAGGAAAUCUAAAAAAGAUAAUAUGUUUUAAUUAAACUACUAUAUUGUUCCAUGUUAUUCUAGAAGAUUGAGAUUUUUUAGUUAGAAAAUAUAAAAAGAUGAUAUAUUUUAGUUAAAAGGAUAAUUGAUUAUAUAGAUAGGCCCAUAUUUCGGCCCAAGUACCGACCGACUAAACUUUCAAUGUUUCGGCUUUAAUAGUAUAAUAAUAUAGAUAUAGUAUUUUUUUAAGGUUUGACUUUAGUUUUGGUAUAGUCAAAUAGAUUUUAUAUUUGUUUUAUGUUUUGAUCGUAUAUUUGUUUUAUGUUUUGAUUUGUUUAUAUUUUAUUUGAACCCACUAAUUUUGUUUGAAGCCCGUUAAUUUUGUUUGAAGCCCGUUAAUUAUAAAAGUCCGUAUAAAAGCCCGCGUACCGACUGACCAAACUUUUAAUGUUUCGGCUUUCAUAGUAUAGUAUAGAAGUAUGGGUUUUUUAGUUAAAAAUUUGAAAAAGAUAACGUGUUUUAGUUAAAAAAGAUGAUUGCUAUGUUGUCCAAUGUUAUUUUUAAAAUUUUAAAUUUUUUAGUUAAAAAAUAUAUAAAAAAUAAUAGUUUUGGUAAUUGAUUAUAUAAAAAGCUCAUAAUUUGGGCCAAGUAUCGGCGGACAAAACUUUUAGUAAUUGAUUAUAUAAAAAGCCCAUAAAGCCCAAGUACCGACCGACCAAACUUUUAAUCUUUCGGCUUUAAUAGUAUAGUAUAGAUACAUUGCCUUAUCUCUAAAUCAUUAUUAAAAAUCAUAAUGAUCACUAACUACUACUUACUCACAAUAAUAAUCAAUUAAUAUAUUUAUGCACUUUGUUAUGUACGCAAACCCAACCUACAAAACAUAUGGUUCUCAAUUAAUUUUAAUAAUACAAUAUUAGAAAAUACAAGAUUUUGUUUCAGUACAUAUAUAUAACAAAACACGAGAUUCUGCUUCAGUACAUAUCUAGCUCAUAUAAUAUUACAAAACACGAGAUUCCGUUAUUGUACAUAUAUUGCUCAUAUAAUAUUACAAAACACGAAAUUCUAUUGCAGUACAUAUCUAGCUCAUAUAAUAUUACAAAACACGAGAUUCUGUUGCUGUACAUAUAAAUAAGGGCUUUUUUUAUUCAUAACCACGUUUUCAAUUUUAUUUCCAAAAAUACUACCUUAUCCAAUCUUAUUUUCAAAAAUAUUACCUUCUCUAAAAUAUUUUCAAAAAUACUGUGGUUGCAUAUGCAACCAUAUAUGCAACUACAAAUCCUGAUUUCAAAUGUCAUUUUCGACCUCAUAUUUGGAAUCGAUAUAUAUAUAUUGAUUCCAACGAUGAGGUCGAAAAUGACAUUUGAAAACUGGAACUUGAAAUCAGGAAUUCAGUUGCAUAUAUGGUUGCAUAUGAGGUUGUAUUCAGUUGAUUCUAUUGUAAUCUAAUGGCCCCGCCAGGGGCACCCAUACACCCAUACAUCAGUUGCAACUUACAGUUUUCCGUUGCAUAUGAGAUUGCAUAUGAGGUUGCACGCAACCUCAUAUGCAACCUCAUAUGCAACUAAAUGCAACUGAAAACUGUAAGUUCCAACUGAAGUAUGGGUGCCCCUGGCGGGGCCAUUAGAUUGCAAUAGAAUCAACUGAAUGCAACCUCAUAUGCAACUAAAUGCAACCUCAUAUGCAACUAAAUGCAACUGAAAACUGUAAGUUCCAACUGAAGUAUGGGUGCCCCUGGCGGGGCCAUUAGAUUGCAAUAGAAUCAACUGAAUGCAACCUCAUAUGCAACUAAAUGCAACCUCAUAUGCAACUAAAUGCAACUGAAAACUGUAAGUUCCAACUGAAGUAUGGGUGCCCCUGGCGGGGCCAUUAGAUUGCAAUAGAAUCAACUGAAUGCAACCUCAUAUGCAACUAAAUGCAACCUCAUAUGCAACUAAAUGCAACUGAAAACUGUAAGUUGCAACGGAUGUAUGGUGUGCCCCUGGCGGGGCCAUUAGAUUGCAAUAGAAUCAACUGAAUGCAACCAUAUGCAACUGAAUACAACCAUAUGCAAUUAUAUAUGCAACUGAAUUCCUGAUUUCGAGUUCCAGUUUUCAAAUGUCAUUUUCGAUCUCAUAUUUGGAAUCCAUAUAUAUAUUUUGACCUUAGAGCAGUUUUUAUUUUGAUCUUUUAUAGUCACAACAAUCUUCACCAUCGAAGAAAGGAGUUAGAGAUGAUUGAGAGUUUGAAUUUGAAGCCAUGUAAUCACUUCUUGUUUCAUCCCAGAUUGGAAUCGAAAACUGCUCCUCUAAGAAAAAGAACAGAUGGAAUAACUUUUUGUAUUUCUAGAUAUGAUUGCUCUAAUUGAAUUGUAUUACAUAUGAUGUAGAAUAUGCUUUUAUUGCUUUAUAUAGUUUCUACCGAACAUUCAGAGAGUUAAUGCAAAGAACCUCUAAAUGAACUUGUAAUGCAUGAAUAUAUAAUAAAUAGAUACCGAGAAUGUGAAAAUAAAUAUGAACGUGCAUGAAUUCCAACAUUUAUAUUUUUAUUGUUCGCCCGCGUAUAGUUGCUCAGGGGGUUAGGCUUUAGGGUGGAGGGAGGGAGCUUAAACAAUCAAGAAUCUGAAAAUCUUUGUUGCACUUGAAGUUUUAACAGCUUUGUUUAGAAAACAGUAAUGGAUUCUGAGAAUCUAGAUGACUAGUGAGUUCCUUUUACUCUUCUUCAUAGUCUCCUCUCAUCAGUAAUUGUGCACAUGUCAAGAUAGCCUGCAUUUUUAUGUAUUAUUUGUCUGCAUGUUAUGCAGAUUCUUUAUGCAUAUAUGAAAUGGUAGCAGAUUUCUUGAUAAAAAUAAUCUCUUACGUAAACAAUUAGCAAGAUUUUUGCAAGAUACAUAGAUUGAUAGAUCAAGGGUACUGAUAAUUAGAGGGAUUGAUAGAUGGCCCGGGCUAAUUCUGAUAACAUGAAUGUUUCUUGAUUUCAAUGAAGAUGCAUGAUAAACCAUAUUUUCAGAUAGCCCAGAAAGCUUUCGAAGCUAAUUGUCAUGUGUGUUUGUGUGUAUAUGAGAAACAACAAGAUUUCUUUUACAGCUGACAAAUGAAGGUUGUUUGUUGGAGAUCAUUACCAAUUGGGUGCUCGAGGAAAUUUCUUGGUACGAGAUUACAAAGAUUAAACAGAAAAUCUAUUUUGUAUCUGUUCUUUUUAUUGUGUGUUUAACUUUGUUAUAUUGCAUCUCAAGGAGAAAUUUAGAAUAGUAAAUGAAAAAUUUAUGCAUACAGUUCCUGACAGUCUUUGUUAAUUGUUCAAGUUAGUAACAGAUUAUUAUAACAAUGAUGCUGAAUCAUGGACUCAUAUCCCACAGGUGCCAAUACACUUGCUUCUAGCAUUCACUAGAGUCCAUCUGGCUCUUGCAGGACUAAACUUUAAAGAUUUCACUCCAAUAGUCCAAUGGAGCUGCCAUUGCUCUGUUCCAGAUUUAAUUUGUAGUAGCUACUACUCAAAUAUUUACAUAGUAACUAGUAUGGGUUAUGGCCACUUUCAAGUUUCAACAGCAAUCCCCUGUCAGCUCCAUUUCUCAUAACAUCAUUAGCUCGGCCAAUUGCAGUACCUUGUUCAAAUUAGAAACAACCGGGAGUAUACUCGCUCCGUCCCAUUUAAUUCUAUACGUUCACUAUUUGGCAUCCAUUUUAAUAUUUUUAUAAAAUAUUGUUCUAUGAUUUAUUUUUAAAUUUUCUUUCCUGAAUAAAAAUUUAAUUUUAAAUUUUUAUUCAGAAAAAAAAAUCUUAAAAAACUAAUAAAAUUACACUUCGGAGAAGUAUUAAGGUGUGCCUGACGGAGUGAGCAGACAUUAAUCAAAAAGAAUAUUACCUCCAUCCCAAAUUAGUUGAGCUAGUUGACUUUGGGCACGUAACUUUAGGUGCAUUGACCGUCUAGUUCUGAAAUUUAAUUUUUUGAUUUUUCUUUUGUUAACGAAAAUUUCAUAUCUAAAUUUUUAUUUACAAAAAUAAAAUUUUAAAAAUAAAUAAUGUAGCUAUGCGGUCAAUGGAUUUUAAAGUGCGUGCCCGAAAUCAACGAGCUCAUCUAAUUUGGGAUGGAGGGAAUAUCUGGUAUAUGAAACUAUUGUUGGAAAAGGAGUGUUGGAAGGUGUCAAUUUGAAUGUGGAUUUGAGUAGGUUAUAGAUCACAUUUAACGUGUCAUUUUGACCAUCGAUUUGAACAGGUCUCUCCUCCGUGGAGAUAUUUCCAAAAACUCAUAAAAUUGAUCAAAACGACUAAAAGAUAGUACAGUAUAGGAGAAAUUCGAUUAUCCAUAGGAGCCAUAGAAAUGAAAAAUUGGUACAUAUAUGCUCCCGCUUCAAGAUAAAAUAUUUGUUUAAUUGAUAUAUAAACUCGUGUUGGAUCUCACCUAAAAUAAUCUGUCUUGUUGUAAAAAUAUUAUUAGCAGCGUACCUUCGUAGGUGCAUCAUCUCGUCACAGAAUCCAGCCCUGGAAAAGAUAUCCCGAGCAUGAAAAAGCUAUGAAACUCAGGAUGGAUAGCGCGACAGUUUGAACAAAUACACACAUUCAGGAAUAGAGAUCACCAUGCAUAUGUUAUUUUGUUGGCGCUAUCCCUCCUGAGCUUCACAGAUUCUUCACUGCUUCAAUUCCUUAGAAAACCGAGGGAGGAAGAUGAGUGUUUAUAGACUUCUUUGGUGAGAAGGUUGUGUUGUUUCCUAGCCAGAGAGGGUCCAUGUAUUUAUACACGAGAGAGAUGGUGAGAGAGAGGGAGAGAGAGAGAGAGAGAGAGAGAGAGAGAGACGUCCGAAAUAAAAAGUCAAAGAAACGUCAUGCAUAAUCUAAGAUCUCAUGGAGCCAUGAGACGAGUGUUUUGACGAGAAGUUUGUUUCUACUUUACUUCGCAUAAAUCCUUCCUCGAUCUCUCCCGUAUCGGAGUGCAUGCAAAAUAGUACAAGGAGUGUGAAGUGAGGAUUAAUUAAUAAUUAGUUGGAUUCCAAAUCCUGACCGAAUUCGUAAUAGUUUUUCAGUUUUAGUUGUGGAUGAAUAAAGUUCAAUAUUAAUAUUCAUGUCUUUCCCGAAUAUUUUACGAUCCUCGUGAGCCUGUGUGCCUCCACUUAAAUCCCGGCAUUUAAAACAUCCCUGGCAAAAAUCGGUUUAAAGUCAGAAAUAAGUUAGAAAUUAACUUAAAAAAAUCAUAAGUUAGUUUAAGGUAUUUUUUCCGGUGACUAAUUUUUUUAAAAAAAAUUUUAGAUAAAUUUUAUUUCUAAGUCAUAAGUUAUUCAUAAAUUACUUUUAUUUUUAUUAUUAUAUUUCUAAUAAUUCAUAAAUUAUUAAUAAAUCAAAAUUAUCCAUAUAAACAUUUUAAGCUCUCAAUAUACCGAAUAAAUCACGUUAAGUCAUAAAUUACAAGCUCAAUCACAUGCUAUGACUCUUGCCAUUGAUAGAGUACAGUAGUAUGCAUGGGAUUAAUUUCUGCUACGUUAAUAGCUGUAAAUUGCUUCUCCACGUCUGUUCCCUUUGACAACUCCAUCCUGGCAUCCUUUAUAUACUCAUUAUCAUCUUUAGUCUUUGUUCUUGGCUUCAGAGUCACUGCUCCUAGGCGUCUAGUAAAUACUCCCUCCGUCCCCGUCAAUAGUAUACAUUGGGGGACGGGGGCGCGGCACGGACUUUAAUGCUUCAAUAUAGUACAGUUAUGUAAAUUAUUUUUAAGAUUUUCUUUUUUUGUAUAAAAGUAUAACAUUUAUAUUUUUAUACAAAAAAAGAAAAUCUUAAAAAUAAGUUGUGGAACUAUGUUUUAUAAGAGCCUUAAAAAGCGUGUCGAACAGUGAAAAAGAAACGUAUACAAUUGACUGGGACAGAGGGAGUAUCAUCCUAUGAUACGGACAUAAGAUUAUACUCAAUGAGAUUUGAGAUUUAUUUAUUUUUUCCGGUCGUAAAUAAUCUCGUACCACUAAACCGACCGACGUGAAAAAAUUGUCGAGUUAAAAUUGAUCGGCUAAAUUCGGUCGGUUUUGACGAGAUCAACGUCGUUUUGCCUUGCUAGCAAGACCCCGACAUAUUUUAACCGACCACAAUGAAAACGGUCGGUUUUAUAGCUGAUGUGUCCGUGUCUUAACCGACCAGGUCAUCGGUCAGUUAUGCAUUUGUGUAAAUUUAAUUAAUUUUUAAAUAAAACAAAACCGACCACCCAAUUUGGUCGGCUUUAGACUUAAAACCGACCGUUUUUUACUGUCGAUUUUUUCCUGUUUUUUUAGUGUACACUAUAUAAUUAAUAUAUAAUAUAUUUGAUUAUAUCAAUAAGUAUUAAUUUUUAUCUUCGCGAGGGGAUACAAACAAAUAGGCAUGUGAACGAAGUUAUAUGUCAUGUUUUGAAGACUGAUUUUCGUAAAUGAUUGGUGAGUGUGGUGUGGAGGAACCUAAUCAAACAUUUGUCCGGAGCAUGAAAAUCAGAUUCAUGAUUAGAAAGAAAAUCCAUCCAGCCGGACAAAAUAAAAAUAAUGUCACAUAGCACUUGUCACAACUGACCACCACCAAACUAUUCGGCACAUGCUUUUCUCGUUCGAAAACGAUUUGAAUAUAAUUGUAAGGUACAUAACCCCCGAAUAUAACCGAUUUUGACAGAGAUUUUGUGUUAAGAUUUCUUGAUAAAUAUAUGUGGUAUAUCUAAUAUAUGCCGAUGGCUAAAUCCCGCGGUUUACGGUGUGAUUUUUAUAAAAAUCUUGGCAAAUCACAUCUCGUAGGGUCGAGGUAAUGUUGAGCGGGACAAUCUUUCAAGUAGAGUACAGUCUACGGGAAAUCAUAAAAGUUUGAUUAUUCCGUCAGAGAUUCAGAGUGCAGCAGCGGCAUUAAAAUUUUGAUCCGUAACUCUCUUACACAUGCACAUGUAUAUAGUAACAUGCAUUCCGCAGUCUGAUCAAGUCAAACCUCAUCUCUAAGUAUAUGUAUACAGUUGUAACAAUAGUAACAGGAAAACAGAUAGAUAGACUUUGACGUAGUUUAAACUUAUCCAUGUAUCAGGCUAUGUACCUAUAUAUACCUUCAUGCUACUAAUGAAUAUAAUCAAGCCUUUCACACUGAAAUCUCAGUUGGUAAAAUCGUGUUAUGGUAUCAGAGCCAUUAUCGGUUUAACAACCACUAGAUCCGCAAACAAACAAUCUUUACAUUCUGAACCAUCUUAAUCUCAAACAAUUUUUCAAUGGCUUCCUCAACCCAAACUGUUACCUCAGACACAGAAAUCAUUCAUCUCAAUGCCCCUACACAUUUACCAACGAAAUUAACUCAAAACAAUUUCCCUGUAUGGAGCACACAGGUGAAAUCAACUCUAAUUGGUCUUGGAGUGAUAAGCUACAUCGAUGGGACAGUCGAAAUUCCGGCGCAAUUUUUAAAAGAUAAUGUACCCAAUCCUGCCUUUAUGGUAUGGAACAGACAAGAUAAAAUCAUUUUGAGUGCACUCCUAGGAAGUUGCCAUGAGACCAUACAACCACUUGUUUCAACUGCUCUCUCUGCCAAAGAAAUGUGGGAGCGAAUUGUUAUCAUGUUCGCAAACAAAUCAAGGUCACGAGUAAUGUCUCUCAAAAGUCAUCUCCUUUCAAACCCAUGUGGCUCCAGGCCCAUCUCAGAGUAUCUCAGAGAUAUACGCACAACAGCUGAUGACCUUGCCAUUGCAGGUCAUCCAAUGGCGGACGACGAUCUCGUACUAUUGACUCUAAAUGGUCUCAGUGAUGAAUACAGUAACAUUCGAUCAGCCAUCAAAGUACGUGAGGCACCUAUGACAUUUGCUGCUCUUCACGAACAACUUGUUGACCAUGAACGAGGCCUGAAAAAUAAAGUUCCUGAGCCUACUGUUGUGACUGCAAACUUCACACAGAAAGUUAAUCAUAAUUCACGAGGUAUGUAUUCAAACUCAUCAUUUACUCCUCGUACAAAUUCAUCUUGGAAUCAAUCAUCUCCAGGACGCCCUUAUGGCUCCCACUCUGGCCGAAACAAUCAGCAAUAUUUCAACAAGCAGACUCAGUCCUAUAUCAAAAAUAACCGUCCCUAUUGUCAAUUUUGUCAACGCCAAGGACAUGCCACCAAAGAGUGCCGACAACUAGCUCGUUUUUUGAAGGACAAUGAUAUCCAGAAUCCAACACCUGCAGUUAAUAACACCAUGCUUCAACCAAAUCAGAAACAACAAUGGCUGUUUGAUACAGGCGCUUCACAUCAUAUCACGAAUGACCCAACUAAUUACACUUCUUUUUCAGAUUAUGGAGGUCCAGAAGAAGUUUUGAUCGGCAAUGGUUCAGGUCUUCCAAUAACACAUACAGGAACCUCUCAUUUAAAUUCUGAUGCAAAAAAUUUCAUAUUAAAUGAUGUUUUAUGUGUUCCUUCUUUAAACAAAAAUCUCAUCUCAGUGGCAAAAUUCUGCAACACUAACAAUGUUUCAAUUGAAUUUUUUCCCUUACAGUUUCAGGUCAAGGACCUCAAAACGGGAGUGGUACUACUGCGCGGGGAGAAUUACAAUGAUGUCUAUUAUGCUCAUUCUAUUCCACAAAAUCUCAUGUCUCCUCAAAUAAAUGUCACCAACUCCACGUUGAUUGAAUCUUGGCACAAUCGGCUGGGCCACCCAGCUUUCCCUGUUCUGAGGCAUUUGCUUCUAUCAAAUAAUUUAGUUAGUUCUAUUCCAUCUGAUUCACUGUUUUCAUGUAAUGCCUGCAACUGUAAUAAAAGUCAUAAACAACCUUUUGGUGUUUCAUCAAUGACAAGUUCUCGCCCUUUAGAAUUGAUAUAUACUGAUGUUUGGGGCCCUGCUGUCACUUCCAUUGAUAAAUUUAAAUAUUAUCUCUUAUUUGUUGAUCACUACACCAAAUACAUAUGGCUUUAUCCUAUAAAACAAAAAUCAGAUGUGCACCAUGUCUUUAUUCAGUUCAAACAGGUUGUGGAAAAAUUCUUUAAUUUAUCCAUUAAAUCUAUUUUUUCAGAUAAUGGUGGCGAAUUUGUCGCACUUGCUUCUUUUCUGAAUUCUCAAGGCAUCUCACAUUUUACUACUCCUCCACACACUCCUGAACACAAUGGCAUGGCUGAACGUCGUCAUGGUCAUAUUGUCCAAACAGGUCUCACUCUUUUACAUCAGGCAUCACUACCUUUAACCUUCUGGUCUCAUGCUUUCCAAGCGGCAACAUAUCUCAUCAAUCGUUUGCCAUCCAGAACCAAUCAGUAUUGCACCCCGUUUGAGUCACUCUUUGGUAAAUCACCAAAUUACUCACGGUUAAAGAUUUUCGGUUGUCUUUGUUAUCCAUGGCUUCGUCCAUACAAUAACUCGAAACUACAACCUAAAUCUGUGCCAUGUAUUUUCUUAGGAUACUCUCCUUCUAAGUCCUCCUACAAGUGCCUUGAUCUCAAUCAUAAUCGUCUGUAUCACUCACGACAUGUUCAUUUUGUGGAGUCCCAAUUUCCUAUGCAUAAUAAGACGCGUGAUUCUGCUCUCCCAGUUGUGCCAGACUCGUACUAUCCUCCUUUGAACCCCACUGUUGUUACUACACCACCUUUAACUACCACUAUUUUACCUCAAUCACAAACCACUCAAACUGCUUCCUUUACAGAAACCCCACCUGCUUCACAUGAAGGUCCCACGUCUUCAUCCUCUAGUCAAAUAAAUUCACCCGUUGUAUCUUCACCUCCCUCGGCUUCAUCACAAAUUGAGUCUACUUCAGUAUCUCAUCCACCUUCACCCUCUCCCAAUCUACUGCCGGAACCUCGUUCUAGACGUCCCAAUCCAAAAUACUUUAACUCACAAUUCAUAAAUCAUACCACCCUUCAUCCCAUUUCUCCUUCAUUAGAGCCUAAAUCAGUAUCACAAGCUUUAAAGGAUCUUCACUGGCGCGAAGCAAUGUCCCUUGAAUUUGAUGCUCUCACUAAAAAUGGCACUUGGGACUUGGUGCCAAAAUCAAAUCAGCCAACAAUAGCGUGUAAGUGGGUUUUUCGGAUUAAAAGAAAUCCAGAUGGGUCUGUUAAUAAAUAUAAGGCGCGCCUUGUUGCAAAAGGCUUUCAACAGCGUCCGGGUGUUGAUUAUUCAGAAACUUUUAGCCCGGUCACCAAGCCAGCAACAAUUCGGAUUGUGUUAAGUAUUGCUCUUUCUCGUGGCUGGCCAACUCGUCAACUGGACAUUAACAACGCAUUCCUUAACGGGCACCUGAAUGAUGAGGUAUACAUGGUCCAACCUCCAGGCUUUUUGCACCCUUCAUAUCCACAUCAUAUUUGCAGACUUCGCAGAACUAUCUAUGGUUUAAAACAGGCAUCUCAUGAAUGGUAUAAAGCUCUUAAAACCUUUCUGCUUGAGUAUGGUUUUAAAAGUUCUGUUGCUGAUUCUGCAUUAUUUAUUUAUCACUCAGCGGGCAUCAUUAUUUAUUUUAUGGUUUAUGUGGAUGAUAUUGUGCUUACUGGGAACAAUGUGCCGUCUGUUAAUAAGUUUGUUGCAUGUUUGAAUCAAAAAUUCUCUCUGAAAGAUUUGGGACCACUGCAUCAUUUUCUGGGAGUUGAAGUUAUUCCUACCAAUUCAGGUCUAUUCUUGUCUCAAGCUAAACAUAUUUCUGAUUUAUUAUCGCAACAUCAUUUAGAUGGUGCCAAAGAGAUGAUUACGCCUAUGUCAGCUACAUCAAAUUUAGUGCUUCAUGAUGGCUCUCAAUCUAUUGAUCCUACUCCAUAUCGCAAGCUUGUUGGAGGGCUACAAUAUUUAUCAAUCACUCGGCCGGAUGUGUCUUUCGCAGUUAAUAAAUUAUCUCAAUUUAUGCAUGCUCCUACUGAAAACCAUUGGGUUGCUCUUAAACGCAUCCUGCGAUACCUCAAAGGGACAAUUCAUUAUGGUCUGUUCUUGCGCAAAAAUUCUCCGCUACAAUUAUCUGCUUUUAGCGAUUCAGAUUGGGGUGGAGAAAGAGACACUGGACGUUCCACUACAGGUUAUGUUGUGUACUUGGGUUCCAAUCCAAUUUCAUGGAAAUCAUCUAAACAAAAUUCUGUUUCGAGGUCUUCUUCAGAGGCGGAAUACAAGGCCGUCGCUAAUGCAGCAGCUGAACUCAUUUGGCUUAAAAAUCUAUUAUCUGAGUUACAUAUUCCUGCUUCAUCUCCGCCUACCAUCUACUGUGAUAAUACAGGGGCAACAUAUUUGAGCUCCAAUCCUGUAUUUCACUCGCGCAUGAAGCACAUCUCCUUGGAUUAUCAUUUUGUGCGUGAACAAGUGGCUGCUGGAUCUCUUCGUGUUGCACAUGUUCACUCUAAGGAUCAAUUUGCUGACAUUCUUACGAAACCUCUCUCUCGACAAAGUUUUCUUCAUCUUCGCACCAAGCUGGGAGUCUCCAAUGGAGCCUCCAUCUUGAGGGGGCGUAACAUGCAUUCCGCAGUCUGAUCAAGUCAAACCUCAUCUCUAAGUAUAUGUAUACAGUUGUAACAAUAGUAACAGGAAAACAGAUAGAUAGACUUUGACGUAGUUUAAACUUAUCCAUGUAUCAGGCUAUGUACCUAUAUAUACCUUCAUGCUACUAAUGAAUAUAAUCAAGCCUUUCACACUGAAAUCUCAGUUGGUAAAAUCGUGUUAUAUAGCAUGCAUGCAUGUUCACCAGAAAAAGGUACAUUCUUCCCAUAUGAUAUGACUCUACGAGUUCGAGUCUUCGUAGAUCUGCAGGCUCACUUUAGCCGGCUUGUACAGGCCCGGCACAGAGGGUGGGCGAGCAAGGCGACCAAGACCCAUGCUUUUCAAAGGGCUCAAAAUUUAAUAGUAUAUAUUAAGAUUUAAUAUAGAUUUUGUCCAACUACUCACAAGUCUAUGUGUCCUUGUGUAAUAUAUUGUUUUUCAAAUUUCACAAAUUUAAGCACAUGACAUCUUGAGCUAAUCCACUUCUAAAGAUUCAAAAAUUGAAUAAAUUGAAGGCUACGUAGGUUUCUUAUCUUGAUUUCAUUAGUAUAAUUUAUGUAUUAACACAUUUAAUUAAAUCUGAAUUCACAGUAUCAUAAAUAUUUUAUAAGAAUUUUUUUUGGAAAGGGUCAAAAUCUUAUUUUCGCCUUGGCCCAUACUCCCUCUGUCCCUCUCAUUUGUUUACAGUUUUUUUACACUGUUCGACACGCAUUUCAAGGCGUAUAUAAAACAUAGUUAUACAACUUUUUUUUGGAAAAUUUCUUUUUUGUAUAAAAAUAUAAACAUCAAACUUUUAUUCGGAAGAAAAAAAAGUUCAAAAUAAUUUAUCAAACUACGUUUUAUAAGAGCAUUAGAAUGCGUGCCGAGCCCCCGUCCCCCAAUGUAAACAAAUGAGGGGGACGGAGGGAGUAUAUUGUAUGGAACGGCCUGGUACAGGAUCUAUAACAACUUCAAGAUUGACCCCAUAUUAUAUUUGAUAUUUAUAGAUUUCAUGGAAGUUUGUAAUUUUCUUUCAGGGUUCUGUGCUUUUGGAUCUUUGAUGUAUUUCUCAGAUAAUUGCUUAAGUGUCCAAAGAAAAAAAAAACUUCAACAAGAUUGUAUUUUAUAUAAAUAUCAGUUUAGUUUUAUAAAAAAAUACUUCUGUUUCGUAUCUAACUAGCAUUUAUUUAUUAGGUCCCGAUCCCAAACGUACAUGUUGGGGAGCUUUUAUAUAUAAAUAUAAUUUUCGGAUCGCUCGAUGAAUAUCUUACGGGGGUGUAUUCGAUAUAUUGAGAUUUUAAUGGAUUGUUUUUAGUCUAUGAAUUUUAAUGGAUUGUAUGGGAUUUUGAUUUUGUGCGGAUUCUUGAUAAAAUGUCGCAGAGUCAUCAUUUUAUGAAAUGAAAAAAAAUCCAUCAGCAUUUGAAUACCAUCAGAUUUUAAUGGAUUUUAAACAAUCUCAAUUGAAUACCAUCGGAUUUUAAAGCAUAAUUUAAAAUCCCAAUUGAAUACCACCAGAUUUUGUAGCAUAGUUUAAAAUCCCAAUUGAAUAUUGCUAAAUUGCUCGAACAUAGUUGAUGUACCGAAGACAUUGAAAUUUAAACUCCUGCUAGAUCUGGACUAAAGUAAUUGUCUUAUUAUAAGACUUAGAUGAUGAGAAAAUGAAAAAUACAUGCACCAAACAAAGCUGGUCCUAUCACAUAAUGAAGCAGAAAAAAAUAGAGUAAAUGGCAGUUUGCCACCACUAUGUUUGGGGUUUUUUGCAGACCAGUCCCCUUCUAUUAUUUCUUGCAGUUGACAUCCCCUCUCUUUUUUGCCGCCUCGAUUUGCACUCAAAAUCUCACUUCCGUCAAAUAGCACCGUUAACAAACGUGAAUGCAGGGAUAGUUAUGUCCACUAUUUAUCCCAGCUGCAGAUGAGAAUAUGUAUGUACUAUUCAUAUAAUUUCAAGCACAAAUGCAAAUGAGAUAACAAAAGCAACACAUAAACAGAUUACAUAACCAGCAUGAAGGGCAUCAUGGCAGUUUAAUAUUCAAAGCCACAUAACCAGCAUAAUCAAAGCCACAAAAGCAGCACAUGUCUAAAUUGUCUGUGCAAAAUAGAAACCCACGGCUUUUGCAAAUACAACCAUACAACCACCAAUAUUAAUGUCUGCAACUACCACAAAAUAAAUCACCAUCUACCUCCUAUCUCCAAACAAAAGAUUUCACCCCUUUGCAGCAUCAAGAAGCCUUCUUACCGACGUUCUUCUCCAUCCUCCUCCUUGCAGCCUCUAAAUUUCUUGAAGUAGUAAAUGGCUGUCCAGGGACUGAAUGAACACCUAAAACAUUUCUAGAGGGGGGCUUGUAGGGCUUGCGGAUGCCUCCAUGUGUAGUAUCUGGUAAUUCUGUUGGAGCUGUGAUACCCCAAUCUGCCUGCUGCUGUGGAGCAUCAUUUGGAGCUGUAGCAUUUUCAGGAUUUGGCCUGGUAGAGGUAUCAUCUUGGCCCUUUUUCACUUCAACAUUCUGUAACAAAUUAAAUCAUUAAAGCACAAAUCACCAUCUACUUAGACUACACAUUUAAGCGUUUGUUGACAUGAGAUACCUUUUGUUUGCAACUUCUGGCAUUGUGUCCAGUGCCUUUACAUAUACCACAUUUUUUGGGUUCUUUCGAACUUGCACCUCCUUGCUCUCCCUUGUUUGCAUCAUCCACCAUCUGUCAAUAUGUAAAAAUGUAAGCAAAUUAGAAAAAAUGCAGAUAAAUGUGAAAUAAAACAAGACAAAGUACCCACCUUUGCUUUGCAAGUCCUUGUAUUAUGUCCCUUUUCUUUACAGUAAGUGCAAUUCAAUGAUGCCUGAUAUCUCUUCAACAUAGUUGGAUCGGAUUCUCUUGUUUCUAUGACAUCACUCCUUUUAUCUCUGUUCUUUUACCAUAUACCAGUAAAUCAACCAACACCCCUAGUUGGUCCUCAGUUUCAACCUCCAAAAUACCUUGUGAGAGCUUAUUUUCAGGUAUACAUGACCAUAAAUCAUAUCCACCUAGCUUCAGUCCUAAAUCAGACAACAUGGACUCUACAUCGACCAUACAGAACUGAUUCACAGAGCACAUAUCAAAGUAAUCGACAUUAUUUCCGGUAUAUUCUUCAAAAUUAUCAGUGAAAAAACCACCAUGAUGAAUUUUAAGUGAAAAGUAAAUGGAAUCGCCUGUAAUUUGGGGGAACAUAGCAACACGAAACCAUAAUUAAGACUAAUUUUAAGUAAGACAUACAACCAAAAUCCAGAUUAUUAUUAACAUAUAGCAAACUCAAAAAACACUACGAUUAAGCAAGCAAUACAAAACCCAUAUAGCAAAUCAAUACAAAACCCUAAACUCAUAUAGCAAGCAAUACAAAACCCAUAUAACAAAUCAAUACAAAACCCUAAACCAGUAAACAUAAAAAAUCCCUAAACUCGACAUGCAACCACAAAGAGUACCACAUAUAACAAAAUCAAUGAAAAUACGCUUAGAUCAGAAUAUUACUUGCAUAGUUUGGUAUUUCACAGCCAUUUGGUAGAGAUGGUUCACGAAUGAUCGGGGGUGCCACUCCUUCUUCAAGGACUUGCUUCCAAUAUUCUGCCGGAACUUCAGCCCAAGUAAUAUUAGGGUUCGGAUCACCAUCUUGCUUCCUUAAUCGACCUCGCAUUUUUUGAUUUUCUUCGCUAGGGUUCUAUAGAGAGUUUUUGUUAGUACAUAACUGUGUUUGCGCGCUCGUUGUAACACAGGAGGGGGGGGGGGAACGAAGGGGCAUUUGUUCUAUACACGAAUUUACAAAAAUAUCCCUGGUUCCGUUAAACUUAACGGUGCUAUUUGACGGAAGUGAGAUUUUGAGUGCAAAUCGAGGCGGCAAAAAAGAUAGGGGAUGUCAACUGCAAGAAAUAAUAGAAGGAGACUGGUCUGCAAAAAACCCCAAACAUAGUGGUGGCAAACUGUCAUUUACUCAAAAAAAUAAUUUAACUUGACUCGGCUACUUUUCGAAGUAAAGCCAAGUAGAUAAUCCGUAGAUUUUGAUUUCGACUUCGAGAUUUAUCAUAUACAGAGACCGCAGUCUGAGUGAAAGACGACAACAAUAGCAGAAGCAGCUGCCCAGACUAAAUGGUGGUGAAAGAAAUUGGCGCGUCAAAUACUCACGUCUACAGGUACUUCGAAGUAUCUCCGAAGGCAUCGCCCGACAUUUCUUACUAUACAGGGAAAUGUUAUUGACCUCAAAAUAUUUUUUUAAAAAUAUUUCCCAAAUAAUAUGAUAGGAUGAUGUGGCGACCAACUCAUUAUUUUUUUAUUAAUUAUUUUUAUAAAAAUCACGCCUAAUAUUUUGUAUCUAUCCUAGUUUUAUAUACUAGAGCUACUACGUAGACAUCUUCUUCCAUCUUUGAUAAUAAUCUUGUUUGUGAAUCUUCUCAGGUUGAUGUGCUAAAAUUCAUAAUCAAACAUAAUAAGAAAGCGUAAAAGCUCGUGCGAGGCACGGGCCCGUCAUCUAUAAAUUAUUUUUUAUAUUAUAUAUUUUGAUUAAUAGUGUAAAUGUAUUUUUUAUAAAAUAUUAAUUUUAUUAAUAUUUCCAUAUAACUCGAAUUGGCACAAUAAAAUUCUCACAUGAAAGAAGUUUAUACUACAAUUUUUUAGUGUGGUAUUCAUCAAAACACAACCAAAUGUGUUUAUAAACGAUAAAUAUAAUAGGCGCGGUUCGAGUGAAUCAUAUAAAGAGGGUUAAUUAUCAAGAGGGCUUCGUAGUUUUCCAAAGAUCAACAUAUAUAGCUGACGACGGAGAAAAAAGGUACAUGAUAUUAUCUUGGGGUUAAUUAUCAAGUUGGUAACUAAAAUGAGCUUAAUGUAUCAGGUUGGUCACUGAACUCAAAACGAUAUCAAGAUGGUCACUAAAGUCACCAUAAAUAUCAAACAAGUACCUUGAAGUAUAUGUUCAAGUAGUAAAAAUAUUAUUUAUAAAGUUUUACACAUUAUUUUUUAAAUGUUACCACAACCAACUAAAAAGUUAUGACUUCUAGUAAUUAAAAUAAUAUAUUUAUAUUUUAUCAAGUUUAUUUAUUAUUUAUAUUUUAUUAUAUAGUUAUUUUUUUGUUUUAAUUAAAAAUAAAUAAUAAAUAAACUUGAUAAAAUCUAAAUAUAUUAUCAUAAAUAUUAGAAGUCAUAACCUUUUACUUGGUUUUGGUAACAUUCAAAAAUAAUGUGUAAAACUUUAUAAAUAAUAUUUUUACUGCUUGAACUUAUAUUUCAAGGUACUUGUUUGAUAUUUAUGGCCACUUCAGUGACCAUCUUGAUACCGUUUUGAGUUCAGUGACCAAUUUGACACAUCAAGCCCACUUUAGUGACCAACUAGAUAAUUAACCCUAUCUUGAGAAGGUAGAAAAUCAUCAAGAUCAAAAAAAAAGUCCUGUUUGAAACCUAUUACAAGAAUUAAUUGCAAGGCCAAACUUAAUGUGAUUACAGGGACAGACCGAAAGUGUGUGAUUAGUUCUCGUAACUUUUAACAUAAUUGUUAACGGAGGAAUUUGGUAGUUAACAAAAUUCGAGGUUCGUGGCCGGAAUCAAGAUCUAUGACGGUGGCUAAGCGGUGGUGAUGAAAUUUUAAGAGUGGCUGAGAUUAGGGUUUCGAGUUGCCUCCAGAUGCUCCCAACUCGUGUCCCCCUAAUUUGCCUACGUACCCCUAUAUUUAUAGGGGAUCAAGCCAAUACGUAGUUCUUUUCUCCUAAGGAAACCUAAACCUAAUAGGAUUAGGCUUCCCCUUCUGCUAUCUUCCUCCUGAAAGGGGCCCAAUACGAUGAGGCCUAGUCUUGGGCCUUGUAGACUCUCGAGCACCCAAGACUUACCCCAAAUGCAAGGGCGCUUCUCUACUCCCCGACAGGGACAACCCGCCAGACUACAGAGAUAGAGCCUUCCAGGGCGUAUCUUCGAGAAGGUUCCACAAGCUCCCCGACAAGGACAACUCGCCAGACGUACUACAGAGCAAGACUUCCUCUAAUCUUCAUUCUCUAUCUCCCAAGGAGGGAAACUCCUCAAACUACAAGGUAGAGUCUUCGACAAAUCAACAGUAGGAUCUAUACACACCCAAGGGCGUCCCCCUAGGUAAAAUAUGUCCCCUUCUGCCCUUCAAAUGACGAUCUUUCUCUGUAAGCUUCAACUUGGCGCGCCCUGAAGAUAAGGCGCGCCCAAUCUUCUUGAAGUGGUCUCUUCUGACUGACAUGGCUAGCUUGGGCUUGGUCCACUCUUGAGCCCAUCAUAGUCUUCUUUUAUGGGCCGGGUCUUCAUGGUGAUUUUUGCGUAUAACAACUACCCCCCAGAUCUUGGUGGCAUUGAAGAUGUCGACGAGAUCUUGAUGUCCUUCAUCCCCUGAGAUGUCCUAUCUUGGUUGUUCUUUGUUGAUGCAGAAGAUGUUGACGUUCUUUAACUAGGCGCGCCAUAUGUUCAAGAAAUUUUCUCUGAAGCUGAUGUUGAAGAAGUUGUUUGAAGAUGACGAUGAUUCUGCCUAACGGAGGUGAAGGCAGUGUUUGCUUGAUAGGGACAAUGACGAAGUUGCUGAGGAAGAGGCCGCGGAAGCCGAAGCUGAGUUGAUGAAGAUGAGGCCACGGAAGCCGAGGCUGAUGGAGAGGCCGCGGAAGCCGAGGCUGAUGGAGAAGCCGCGGAAGCCAAGACAGAGUUGAUGAAGAUGAGGCCACGGAAGCCGAGGCUGAAGGAGAGGUGAGGCCGCGGAAGCCGAGGCUGAAGAUGAGGCCGCGGAAGCCGGUGCUGAAGAUGAGGCCGCGGAAGCCAAGGCUGAAGGAGAGAUGAGGCCGCGGAAGCCGAGGAUGAAGCAGAAGAACGUGCCUUCUACCACGUCUUAGAUGAGGAUGAGACGCGCCCUUAUUAUCCAGAUCCUUCUUCUGAUCUGUAUGAUCACCCCCCCAGUUUCGGUGUAUGAGCUUGACUUGAAGAUGCAGGUUGGAGAAGAUAGUGUUGCGAAGAUGUGUUGUGACGUAUAAUUACUCUGAAUCUUGAAGACUGGAGUGUUGGACGUGUCUCUGUAUACAAUUAUAUAUAUACAAUUAUAUUUAAAAAAAAUAAUAAUAAGGUUAGUAUUUACCUCAUGGCGCGCCCUGUUAAGGGAAGGCGUGCCCCGUUUUCUUUCUUUCGUAUUAUUCCUAGCUCCUUCUUUUACUAUCAGCCAAGGAUUUUGUUCCAUCUCCUUAUAUGCUUCACCCUUGAGACCUGCAAUUUGGAACUUGUAAUCUCUAGUAUGUCGCCCUUCUGAUGUUUGAAGAUUAUGCACUUGAAGCGUUUGGAGUAAGUGUGGAGAGCCAUGAUACUUCUGAUAUGAUGUGUCCUCUUAAAAAAUUUAUCCCUGCAAAAUAUUCAAUUGAAAUUGCUCGCACCCCAAACAUUAGAUAUAUAGUACCUUAAAAAUAAAUUACUAAAACAAAAAUAUUAGGCGUUAAUAAGAGACACAUGUCAUAUAUCAAGUAUAAUAACCAUCUACAUGGAUUUGUAAAAUACAUAAUGCAACAAUAUAAUAAAAAUAUUUAUAACAUAAUGAUGCAUGGCACAAAUUGAUAUCUUGCAAAAAAUAAAAUAAAAAUUGAGAGAAACUUAUCUCCUCCAUGUGUUUCUAUUUUUUCCAUGUAUGCUGCUUUACAAUUCUGUAUCCCCACGCGGCCACGCCUAUGCUACUUGGCAUAUGAUUAUACGGCUCAGCUCCAUCUCAAAAACUUUUCUAGACUGCUUUGCUCCUGCAUGCAUGCUUCUGGUCCUCGAGACCAUCCGCCAUAAGCAAAUUUCUUUUAACCUGUGAUGUAAUGAUUCUCCUAUUUUGCCACCCAUAUUAACUGCUUAGGAAUCAAGUCAAUCACAUGCAAGUAUAUAUUUUAAUAAAUAAAUUUCAAUAAUUUACGAGUAAUAAUAAAUAUAACGAUCUAAAAUGUAUGAAAUAUGUGUAUCUUGGUUAAUGCAAAAGAAGGUACAUCUCGUAUGAAUUUUUAAAUAAUUGAAUAUUAAAAAAUAUAAAUAUGAAAAUAUUAGUGCAUAAAAUAUACGAAGGGCCGCUAAAAUGCUAAUAUUGGAUUACAAAAAACUUAUCUGUAAUUGUAGGUGACAUCCAUCCUAACUCGCGCUAUGGCCUAGUUAUUCCAUUUGCUUAACCUGCUUCUUGUAUCAACUCAGUUUGACGAUAUUAUAUUAUAAAUCCAUAAAUAUGUCACAUAAUAAAAACGUGUAGAAUAUAAAGAGCACAACGUAAGCAUAAACAUAAAAAUAAAUAAAUAAAAGUGCAUAAAAGACUUAUCUCUGAUUUAUGCCCCGGACGUCAUAAUUAAUCGGACUGAUUUUCACACUUUCUAAGCAGCUCCUCUCAAUUUUCCACUUAGUAUCCUGUCAAAACCUGGAUUUUCACAAAGGGUUGCAUUUGAUGAUUUUCGUCUCCGGCCUAGCUCCUGCGCUUAAACACAGCCCCACAAAUUCUCGUUGCAGCAUUAUUAGGACAUUCAUAACCAUCUGUAUAUACUCAACAAGCCUGCAAGUUUCACUAAUUUUCUACUCCAAAAUAAAUAAUCACAUGAAACAAUAAAUUGUUAAAUUACACCAUAAUAAAUUAUGACAAAUAUAAUUCAUAUGCAAAAUUGUAUUCAUGCUCCAUGCAUGCUAAUAUUAUAACAAUGUUUUCUAUGCACCUAUAUAUAUACACACACGAUAUUAAUAAAUAAAUAUUAACAAAAAGAUAAACAUUAACAAAAGAAUAAAAAAAAGAAGCACAUAUCUUUGCUCCGUUUGAGUGGCUUCUGGUAAAUAACCCUUCAGUACGUACAUUCAACUUGCAGGAUUCAUCAAACUUCACGCGCAUUCCCUCGUAGUCAUAUCUUUCAAUUUCCUCAUUUAAGCUGUCAUCGUUUUCCAAAGAUAUGUAGUAUCCUAUGAUUUUAGAGUAACAUGAUUUAGAGUAACAUGAGUAUAUCUUACAUGCUUUAUAAUACUUAGAAUAAGGGUCUAUACGGACAUAUCAGGUAUCAUAUAUGCAGUAUAAUGUUAGCGAUGCAAGAUAAAAUAAGAAAUAGAAAACUUAUCCUUUUAGUGUCCACCGGUUGCAAGCUUCAACUAGAAAAUAAGCUAAGCAUUGGUAUGCAUGAUCUCGGUCAGAAGAGUAAUACUGUGCCAUCAAGUUUAAGUUUUACAAGCGAUAGCAGCAAACAAAACAAACCAAUGACAUAAUUCACACAAGAUAAUAUAUAUUUAUAAAAUAAAUUAAAUUAGUAAUAGAAUGAUGGGUAUUACAACUAAAUUAUGCAUGAUAUAACUAAUUUAAAUUAUAUAACCUGAAAGAUCUAAAUAAAAUAUUAAUAUGCAUGGCAAAUAUAUUUCAACUUGAGAAUCAUAAAACUUAGAAAAACUUAUCAUCACGUCCCAGAACGGAAGCAGCUCCCUCUGUUGUGCCUUCUCAGUCUGCAACAAUAAGCAUGACAAUAUUCUAAGCAAAGUUAUUAAUUAAUGAAGCAUCACAGAACAAUGCACCACCAGCGAUCAUAGACAUCCUUUGACUUGGCCUCUUUGUGACCCGUGAAGCCACAAGUAAGGAGAACAGAGCCACUGAUUGGUGCAGUUACUGGCUUUCUGUUUCUGAUUACAGAUGGAAAGAAUUUUCCCAAGAAUAUCGAGUCCGUGUAUGUCACACCACCCGGAUGAGCUUUCCUGUUGCCAGGGAUUAUAACCCCAGGUCUUUUCACUUGAAACUAUAUUUAUUUUCAAGGACCGGAAAACUCAGAGAUUAUGCAGAAGUACGAAGAAUACGUAAGAAUUUAAACAAAACAUGAACAGAAUUAUAUAAUAUAUAUUGAUAAAAGAAUAAAAAGAGAACACUUAUCCUGAAGCAGGAAGCAAACCAAAGGGAGAUUCUCCUGAAGGAUAGCUAGAUUGGAAGCUUCUGGCCGGUAUAUAUCGCACACCUUUUGAAACCACGUUGAAAGUACCGGAGACUCUGUCGUUGGCGGUUCUGGCGGCGGCCUCAAGAUCGAAACCUAGGGCGGAAGGAUUGUCUUCUUCGGGAGCUUGCGUAGAGGCGGCAUAGGCGUUCCAAUCGGCGAGUAGAGAUGGCUGUUUGGUUCGGGAGAUCACCGCUCGCGCCACUGAACCAAGCCUGUGUUGUUUUGUGCAUCUUUAGUUUGUUGAGGGACUCUUUAUUGUAAUUGUUGGCGAUUUAUCAGCAAUUCAGCAGCAACAGUAGCUUCGGGUAUUUUUGAUUUGAUUAGGGAUUGAAGAUUAUUCGGAACCCGAUUGCAUGCCACACCCAGAAAACAUGCAGUCACGAUUAUGUCUAAUUUGAUGUUAAUGUCUAAAGGUAAUGACCCAUGAUAGAUUUUCAGUAUAAACACACAUCCACCUAUUCACCAUUGUCCGAGAUGCUUUAAUUAUUGAUUAAUAAUCAGCCGUAGUUUGAGCAUGUUUUGUAAAGAUCGUUUGUCCUCCCCAAACGAAAGAUCUUUAGGCCCCUCCUUCUAGCGUCAAUUUGUUAACGGAGGAAUUUGGUAGUUAACAAAAUUCGAGGUUCGUGGCCGAAAUCAAGAUCUAUGACGGUGGCUAAGCGGUGGUGAUGAAAUUUUAAGAGUGGCUGAGAUUAGGGUUUCGAGUUGCCUCCAGAUGCUCCCAACUCGUGUCCCCCUAAUUUGCCUACGUACCCCUAUAUUUAUAGGGGAUCAAGCCAAUACGUAGUUCUUUUCUCCUAAGGAAACCUAAACCUAAUAGGAUUAGGCUUCCCCUUCUGCUAUCUUCCUCCUGAAAGGAGCCCAAUACGAUGAGGCCUAGUUUUGGGCCUUGUAGACUCUCGAGCACCCAAAACUUACCCCAAAUGCAAGGGCACUUCUCUACUCCCCGACAGGGACAACCCGCCAGACUACAGAGAUAGAGCCUUCCAGGGCGUAUCUUCGAGAAGGUUCCACAAGCUCCCCGACAAGGACAACUCACCAGACUACAGAGCAAGGCCUCCUCUAAUCUUCAUUCUCUAUCUCCCAAGGAGGGCAACUCCUCAAACUACAAGGUAGAGUCUUCGACAAAUUAACAGUAGGAUCUAUACACACCCAAGGGCGUCCCCCUAGGUAAAAUAUGUCCCCUUCUGCCCUUCAAAUGACGAUCUUUCUCUGUAAGCUUCAACUUGGCGCGCCCUGAAGAUAAGGCGCGCCCAAUCUUCUUGAAGUGGUCUCUUCUGACUGACAUGGCUAGCUUGGGCUUGGUCCACUCUUGAGCCCAUCAUAGUCUUCUUUUAUGGGCCGGGUCUUCAUGGUGAUUUUUGCGUAUAACAAUAAUCACUUUUUAAACCCAAACAAAUCUCGACUCUUUCGUUCAAAUCAAGUUAUGGGAUCACAUAUAAAGAAGAAACUCGAAAUGAAAUGAAUGACAGAGCAGAAAUUCGACUAAAUAAAAGUUAUCGCUCUAUAGUAGUUGAAGCCGGAGGACUUGAAAAUGUACCAUUUUUACAAAAAGAUUGUAGAAAUUUUCUUAAUAAAGUACAUCGUUUAAGACUUGGUGAAGGAGAUGUGGCUUUCAUUAAAAAGUAUUUUCUUAAAUGCAACCAGAUAAUCCCAAGUUUUUUUAUGUGAUGGAUCUAUAUAUGAAAAAAGGUCGCUUUAUAUCUUGGGUUGAUGCAAAAAGCAGAGAUGCUUAUGUAGAGAUCGGCGAUGUCAUUACUUUUGGCACAACAUUUUAAACCAAUAAAACUGACACGCCAUUUGCGCCAUUUGUUGGAGUUAAUCAUCAUGGGCAAUCAAUUUUUUCUAUUUGAGGAUUAAUUUCCAAAGAAAAUACAAAUACUUUUAAACUCUGUUCUAAAAUUCGGUGAUUAAUCGAUUAAUUUUUGUUCCGUAGCUCGCCGAACUGAUUGAAUCUCUGAUUAAUCACCGAUUAAUCCGAUUAAUCCCCGAUCAACUCAAUUAAUGCCAAAUUAAUCCUUGUUCCGUAACUUCACCGAUUAACUCCGAUUCCCGCUUUUAACAACACUGUUUUUAAAUGGUAAAUACACGUAUGUCUGAUCAUGCUCCAAGUGCAAUAAUCAUUAAUCAAGAUAAGGCUACGCAGAAUGCUAUUAGAGAUAUAUUUCCGUAUGAAAUGUCAUUCGCGUCAUUUGUUGGAGUUAAUCAUCAUGGGCAACCAAUUUUGUUUGGUUGUAGAUUAAUUUGCAAAGAGAAUACAAAAAUUUUUAAAUGGCUGUUUAAAUCCUGAUUAAUAGCUAUGUCUGAUCGUGCUCCAAGUGCAAUAAUUACUGAAUAAGAUAAGGUUAUGCAGAAUGCUGUAUCUAUUAAUAUUAAAAUUUACAUUUUAUGUAAUUCUAGUAAUAAAAACUUUUUAGAUUAAUUAUAUUUUCUAAAUUACAUAUGAUAAUUCGAUUUGAGCAAUAUACUAAUAAUUAACAGGCUGGAUCAUUGAAGUUAUUGGGCCAGCUGUAUCUUGUUUUAUUUCAACAUCAAAUUUUCUCUUAUAUUGGGCCAUGACUAUCUAUACCUACCUGUGAGAGUCCGGGUUAAACAAUCACAUGAUUCAAAAACCUUAUGAGCUUGAUUUUCACAAACAUGAAGCCGAUAAAGAUGUAGCGCAUCUGUGCAAAUGUGUGUGCAAGUCAAGAUAUUAAUUGACCAGCACUGCUUUAUCCAUGCAAAGAAAAUGGCAUCUACAUUUUGUACUGAAAGAUGCAAAAGCGAAAGCACUGUGCUAGUUAUUUCCAUUCCUUCUCAAACUCAAACUAAAGAAUCUGGUUACUGUAAACACAGUUUCUCACCUCUUUUUCCACAGCUUUUCAUUUGAUUCCCUUUAGCUUCUUCUCUCUCCUUGCUUGUUCCAUGCUUCUUCGAUUCUCAUGAUUUGUGCUACAGGAAUUCUAAUAUCGGCUCUGUCAAAAAGUUUAUUUCCUUUCACUAGUUAGCUAUUUUGCCAAAUUCCAGAUUAAAGUGUACAUUCUUUAAGUAAUUCAUUGUCUUUUUUAAAAAUUUCUUUUAAAAUCCAUAACACCUAUUAAACAAUAUUAUAAUGUUACAGUAGGUAUUCAACUUAUACCUACUGCAACAUCGAAAAAAUUGCAACAAGUGUUAUAUAUGUUGCAAUGAUGAAAAAUAGUACUUAGCAAAAAAAUAAUAAUGAAUUAUAGUAUAGGAUCAAUUAUUGACAAUUUAGACUUAUAUGUCUUACAAAAUGAGUAUCUGUUCUAAUAUUUUGUCAAAUGCGGUUAUUUCGAGACAACGAAAGAUAAAAUCCACCACUUGGGCUAUCCAAUCGUCAUCUGGUCUAGGAUUAAUUUAGUAUUAUAACAUUUGUAGAAACUUAAUACUAGUAACAUUGAUGAGGAGCUAAUAAAGAUCACUAGAGUCUGCAAAAUACAACAUGCUAAACACACCGGUACAGAGAAAUACAUGAAGGAAUAUAUGCUGCCGUACUUGCAUUCUUGUUUUGUCUAGAUAUUGUCCCCUAUAUAUGCACACACAAGUUUCUAUAUUUUAACUAGUUAGACUAAUAGUUAAAACUGGAUAGGAGGGAGCAAGGUGCAGGAAUGGUCAAGGAGGGUGGUGAAGGGCUGAAAAGUGGCUGCAUUAAGAGUAGCCAUGGACCAUGGCUGGUUCACAAGACUACUAAAGAUGGUGGUGUGGUGACAAAGUAUCGGUAUCCGUCUGAGAAGGAGAGGCAGAACAAUAAGCAGAGGGAGCGGAAGAGGCGUUCGAUAUCCAAGAAAAUCUUUGCAGGUCUCAGAGCUUAUGGAAACUACCAGCUCCCUAAACAUGCUGAUUCUAAUGACUUGUUGAGGGCUCUUUGUGAUGAAGCUGGUUGGCAUGUUGAUGAGGAUGGUAAUGUUUACAAAAAGGUAUAUUCUCUGUUUUUAAAUUUUCAUCCUACGUUUUCCCGACUCUUAAUUUUGUCUCGAAUACCCGUGUCGGACGCCCGAUACUUAGACACGGCUAUGGACACUCCAACAUUUAUUUUAGGUCCAAAAUGAAAAAAAAUUAUACUAUUGUCGAGUCCUAUACUCGGACACGUAUCUAGUUUGGACACUUUCAGCCGAUCCGGGUAACAGUUUUCAUCUAGGACUUUUAAUUGUUAAGAGUUACAUUCUGCAUUAUUCUGAGUAAUUUGUUGCAUACAUUUUGCAGGAGGCCAUGUUGAGGAUGCCGAGCUUGAUCAACUCCGGCUUUGAUGCUCGGAUUGAAGAACAAUUCAAGAACAAGACAUUCAGCAGCUUCGAUGAUGACAUUCAAGCCAGAACUACCAGCUUAUCCUUGGGGUGCUCCUUCGAAGAACAUGAUAUCAAUCUUUGUCUCUCCCUUUCUUGAACAAAAAUGUCAGAAAAUAUAUAUAUUCACAAAUCACAACUCCAUACAUAUUACAUGUUAAUUUCGUCUGUGGUGUCGAAAUUACUGAUUAUAGUUCUCAACUUUCAUUUGUAACUCGAACGAUGACCGUGACAUAUUCAAAAAAAAAAUGCUACCUCCUACCAACUUCGCAAUGUAUUGCUGUCUUGUGCAUUCUGUCGUAGCUAAUCAAAUCGAACCGAAUUAAAAUCAAAAAUUAACAUUAAUCCAAGUCGAAUAAAGCAUGGCUUCAGCCUAUUCAAAUUCAUCUUUGGAGAGCAAGAAAGUGGUAGCAAUAUUAAUCAUUAUGCAGAAGAAAUAUACUUGCUAGAAAAAUCUGAUAUGGAUCUUCCUGUACUGUACUUGAUAUGAGGAAGAGGGGAAAAAGAUCUCAUCCAUUCUUUUUCCUUGGCCUUGGUAAAAGGCAUCUCUACUGUAAAAACAUUUUCUCAGCUCUGAUUUGAUUCCAAAAGUCUCUUGACUGCCCUUUUGUCCCCAUGGCAUGACAAAAUCUCCAGUUCCUUCUGCAUGGUUUCACUAUCACUGAACCAUAGUUGUCUAAACAGAGUUUACUUUGCCAGAAAACUACACACAAGUAUUCUCGAAUUCAUAUACAUUGUUUUGUUAGUAGUUUCUCCGUUUAGUAAUUACAUUCCUUAAUGUUAAAAUCUCGAAAUUUUAGAUGAACUCGUAAUUUAACAAUAUGAGACUAACAAGGAGUAUGUGUAUCAAUUGCAUGUCAUGUUUAGCAAUUUCGUGUUCAAGAAGCGGAAGCGAAGAGGCUAACCUAUAAAAACAGGGCUAAACUAUAAAAAUUAAUAAUAAUUUAUAAUUUUCAGUAAUUUCUUGUUCUUGAAAAUAAUAUUAUUUUUUAUAUACGGCCUCCAUUACUUUCAAAUAAUGAGUAAAAAAAUAUUUUGGAUAUAACGAAAAUUAAGAGCAUGGCAACAAAGCUGUGCUGUCAAAACUCAAACAGAAAAACUUUUCCCAGCAUUGUCCAGAUAAAUCAUGUCUGUGAUGACAGUAAUUAAAGGGUUUAAUUGAGCAACUAAACAACAUUGACGCAGAUCGAACCAGAUAAAGAACACUGUCAACAUGCUAAACUUGAUAGAGCACAAGGAAUAUCUGUCGUACUUUGAGAUGUUCUUUCUGCAACACUUUGAUUUUCUCUCCAUUUUGUCCUUUUUCUCUCAAGAGCAUCAAACCAACCACACAAACAAAUACACGGUAGUAUAAUAGACAGAUUGGGGUUAGAAAUGGAGAUGAACAGGUCUCAAAGGAGGAGAAAUGGGCUCAAAAAAUGUACGGUCUUGGGCUUUUUUCUUAGGAGCACAGUCGAAAAAUGAAAAUACAGUGACCAACAACCAUACUCUAAUAAAAAGGAGAUCAUAUAAAUUUAUAUCUUUUAUUCUUCUUUCCUUUUAAGAGUACAACUUCAAAAUUUGUAUGGGACCAUCAGCAUGGUAUAAACCAAACAUAUAAGGGGUCGUUUGGUUGGGUCCUUUCUGGUAUCAGGUAUGGGUUUGGUUCAUUCCAACCCCAUACCUGAUGUUUGGUUGAAAUUUUUUUAAUCUGAUACCCAUACCUGAAACCCACCAGGAAUGAGUUUCUCAUACCCUAGGGGGGAGGUGGGUAUGAGAAGGGGGUAUGGGUAUCAGUUUUAGUUUAAUUAUUUUUUAAUAUAAAGUAUUAUAAAACUUUACAAAAAUAUUUUAAAUUGAAAUUGGUAAAUCUCACCUGAAUAAUAAAUAUUUUUAUUUAACAAUAAUUAGUUUUAUUUAAUUAUUUUAUAAAAAUAUUUCAAAUAACAUAAAUUCAUUCCGGCACUGAACCAAACAAAUGCUAUCAGGAAUGAUACCUCAAACCCAUACCAGCUCAAACCGAUUCCUGAUUCCAAACCGAUACCGUCUCGCGAACCAAACGACCCCUAAAUAUAAUGGGGUGUUGGCAAUCAUUUAUUUUAAAAAAUAAAUAAUUAUUUUAAUCAAAAAUGUAUUUUUUUUUUAUAUAUAAAUGUUAAAGAAGGGUUUCAUAUUCGUUAUUUUACAAAACAAAUAAGAACUUAGUUCAGAAAAAUAGAGUUAUAUGUAUUUUUUUUUAAAAUAAGCUCUUAUUUCUAAAAAUAAAUUUAGUCAAUGACGUCAUGAUAUGUAGGGGUGAUCAAGAAAUCGCCCAAACCGCAUAAACCGCCCGCACCGCACCAAACCGCACCACAAAAUGCGGUUUUUAAUUUUCAUGGUGCGGUUUGAAUUUUUCACAAACCGCGCAGUGCGGUGCGGGUUGCGGUUUGACAUAUUCCUAGUGCGGUUCAAACCGCACCGCACCGCAAUAAUAUAAUAUAUAUAUAUAUAUAAAUAUAUUAGUUAUUGUCAAAUAAAAUUAUAUUAUAUUCAUAUAUAUAUAUUAUGUAUAAUUAUGUUAUAUAUAUUCGUUAAAUCUCUUCAAAUAAUAGUUAAUAAUUAACUUAUCGAUCUCUCAUUACUAUUAUAUCAAAUUUGAAUGAAAUGAUUAUAUUAUUAUAAUAUGUCUAUUAGUAUUCAUAUUUAUUAUCAUAUUUACACUUUUGUUUGUAUUAUUUUAGUAGUUGUUGUAGCUCUUAAAUGAUAAAUAUCAUAUAAAUUCAUUACAAGAAAAGAUUUUAAUUAUUGUAUAUUUAAAUUUUAUUUCUAACUUCAACUAAAAAUAUUGAUUCUUAAGCAUACAAACCGCACAAACCGCACCGCACCGCACCGCAUUUUUGUGGUGCGGUUUACGCGGUUUUUAUGCUAGCGUGGUGCGGUUGCGGUUUGAGUUUUUAACCAAACCGCAUGCGCGGUUUGGUUCGCGGUUUUAGUGAAAAACCGCACCGCCCGCACCGCGAUCACCCCUAAUGAUAUGAUUUUAAAUUAACCGAGACAUUUAAGAAAUAAUUCAAAUUAUAUAGUCAUAUUUAAUGAACCGAAAUGGAUUGGUAAUUUGGUAUUACCAAUUCGCUGACCGAAUCUACUUCUAUAUAUUAAAUUGCAACCAAGGGCAAAAAGAGCAAAAAAAAAUAGGUGUGAAAUGUCCAUUAUACCUCUACUUAACCUAUAAUUACAAGAAUACCAAUAUGGUUCAUUUAUUAUAUUCUCAUUUAUUAUAUUCAACAUAUUAAUUAUCAUUGAUUAAGGUAUUUGCACAUAAAUAUUUAUGUUAGUUACACUUUUCACUUAUUUAUGACCCCUUAUUUACAAAAAAUUAUUAACUAAUAUAUUCAUACAAACAAUAUUAAAUGCUAAUAGUUAGUUAAUUUACAAGAAAAAUACUUUUUUGAACUGAUUUUGGAAUAUUUAAUCAAACUAUCAUUUUAGUUAUAAAUUUAAAUUAAGAUCUUGUAAUUCUCAUUUUAUUAAAAAAUAAAAAUUAUUUACAUGUAAUGGACUCAAGGGACAACUUAAUUAAAUUCUGUAAUCGAGUUUUAUUCGAGUGGCACUUAAAAUUGAGUUAUCAUCCAAACAAUAUAAAAUUAGCUUGGAAAAGAGUUUGAGUGCAGGUACCCAGCCGAAUUAUAACUCAAAUUGGUCGAGUUUUAGACAAUUGACUAUUAGAUAAAAUAAUCACAUAUAAUUUCAUAAAAUAUAAAUCAGCUUGUUAAAUAUUAAUAAACUUUCAUGAUAAGAUAGUAAUAAGGUAGCAAAUGAUCGUUGGACCGACUGAUGAUCACAGUAUUGUUCAACAUAUAAAUAUGUGUAGACGGGUUAUAAGAAGACAGAGAGAGAGAGGAGGAGAGAGAGAGAGAGAGAGAAUGUGUAUCUGAACUUCGAGAUAGAACCAAGUUAUUGUUAGAACUUAGAACUCGCUAAGGACCAUUAGAUCUAAGUAUAUUAUAUGGUUGAGAUUGAAAUUACAUUUAAUUACCAAGUACUAUAUGCAUUAAAUAUGUACAGAUUUAUGAUCAAUAACUAAUCACUUUAUAUAAAAUGAGUUACUUACCAUAACUAGUUUUAGUUCUAAAUAUAAUUACUAUAUAUUGCUGUAGUAUACUCUAUUUUGUAAAUAGAUUUUACUGCAUCAAUAUAUAAUUAUUAUAUAUUACUGCAGUAUACUCUGUUUUUAUGUCAUAUAUUCAUUAAAACAAAAAAUACUAUUGCAGUAUAUCAUAAAUUAUACUCUUACACUAUUGUCGAACUAAUACAAAAAUAACAUAACCAUAGUAUAUACCAUUGCAGUAUAUGUAAGUAAUAGGUAAAAUAAUAGAUUCAAUUCAGAAACACGAUAUUAGCCAGAAUGAAAUAAUUAGUGAAUUCAUUAUUUUAUCUGUAACUUAAAUAUACUACAAUGAUAUACCAUAGUAUAUUUAUGAAUUGAUUUGAUUUUUUUAUCUAUUACUUAGAUAUACUGCAAUGGUAUACUAUAAUUAUAUCAUGUGUGAUAUAUUUCCUGAAAUAGUGAGAUAUGAUAUAUAAUUUAUUACCUAAUAUAAUGUAAAAUAUAAUGUGUGCUUUAAUGAGGGAAGAUAUUAAAUGAUUUAAUAUAAAUGCCUUUUAGAUCACAGCCNNNNNNUUUUUAAUGAUUAAGGGGGAGGAAAUUAGGAAAUUAAUAAUACUUUACUUAAGUUUGUGUUAUCUGCUUAAGUACAUUGGCCCUAAGUUUAUUUGUUUCUAAGACUAAGUUGGUUUGGAUUUGAAUUUGGUGAUCUCAGGAGGUUUAUCCUGAGUUAAUUUGUUUAAGUUGUUUGGAUAAUUAUCUAUGCAUAUUUGCUUUGGUUAAUUGCUUUCUGCGUUAAANAAGAGGAGGAGAGAGAGAGACAAUGUGUAUCUGAACUUUGAUCGACUCACAUAGUUAAACUUUUAUAUGCGCAUGUGCUUGAAUUCGAUCAUAUCACUACGGGUGAUCGUAACUUGUGAAAACUGAACAUACUAAAUCAAUUUCAACUAUUUAUAUGUUUUAUAGAUUAAAAUAUAUAAUUUGCAUCUAAAAAUUCUACCCGUGUCACUGUAAUUGGAUUGAAUAGCCCACCAGACUUCACUGAUCGUAAAAAUAUCUCAUUUACAGAUUAUUUCUGAUACUCUCAAGGUUUUGAUGAUGACACUAACAGCAAGCUAAUAACAUGAAACUGAUAUGUGUGAGCAUGCUAUCAAAGGUUAUUUAUGCGGACUAACAGUAUUUCAGGAUGUUAGCAUGAUUAUAGCUGUCAGCAAGCUUACAGGGAUAUUUACAAGCUAUCAGCAGGCUUACAGCGAGAACAGAGAAACAAUCGGAUAAAGAUCAAAGUCUAUUUUCAAGGAGAUUUAAUAGGAAACGACUUUGUAAGGAUUCUAAUAUUUGUAUAUAUCUUAUAUAAAUAUUAGAGCUCGGUUUUAUAAAGAGUUUUGUUCAAAAACGUUUUCCUAACAAAUAGGAGAUUUUAUCUCAAAAGAUCUUAUCUUUAACAAACUCCUAUUUUGUUUCAAACGGGUUUUAGUUUAAAUGUCUUACUGAGAUGAUUUCAAACGUGUUUUAUCUUUUACUCAGUAAUCUUACUUCAUUCAAACGUUCAUCAUUCAAUUCAAAUUUAAACGUGAGGUUGUUACCAAGAUCGUUGGGAAAUUUGUUGGAUUAUGACCGUUGGUAUGAUGUAUAUAAACUUGAGUGUGGUUUCGGUUUUGACAACAAGAAAAACACACCAAGCUUUCUGAAAUACAACUCUUCACAUUGCUAAAUCUUUUAUUGAGCUCUAGUACUUAUAUUUGCAUAUAUAUCUAUAUUGAGAGUUCAUAGUUUCGGUUGUAUUACACUUAUACAUUGUAUUGUUCAAGGUGUAAUGUUUUGUUGCUGUGUAUCGAGCUUGUGAAACAAGGGAACAAGGGGACUAGUUAGCUUGGAGAAUAUACUUGGGAAGUAUAGGUCUCGGUAGGCUUUUGGUUCGUGGUUCAGGGGUUUCAGCAGGCUGAUAACAGGAACAAGGGAGAAAGGGAGUUAUAUUAUUGAAUCUUGUAAUCGUUGAUAUUAUUGAUUAAUAAUAUAAUCUCUUACCAGUUGGUAGGGGACCAGGACGUAGACCAUUAGGGUUAGGGGUCGAACCUGGCUAAAACUCUUGGUGUUGCUAGCAUACUGCUUUACAUUAUCUGCAUUGCAUUUAUCUUAUUAGCAGGCUAACAGUUUACUCUGAAAAUUAAUAGCAGGCUGUCUUUGACAGAUUAAUUAUUCGGUAACUUAUAAAAAUCGGGUAUAUUAGCCAUAACACCUAUUCACCCCCCCUCUAGGUGUAUAAUUUCAAUUUCGUGUUAGUCUGAGUAAUUACAAAUAUAUUCAGUACCCUGAAUUAGAUAUUAUUGAUAUUAUUAGUUGGUUUCAAAAUAAAAUUAUACUUAAAGGGCGAACACUCAUCGUUUACGGCAUGGACUACAUUUAGUAAAAACACAAUUAUAUUAUAAAAACAAAAAAAUUAUCAAUUAAAUUAAAUAAUAUAUAUUUUUUAUAAAUGUUGGCCCGUGCCUUGCACGGGUUUCCAUGCUAAUUUCAGACUUAAAUGAUAAAUCCGAUUCUGAUUUGCAGAGCAAACAACUAAAUAGUAAUCAACAAGUCGAAUACAAAUUGACCUGGUGGCCUCCCCAAUUCACACGACGCAGGGUGAUGUGUACACAAGAAAACUAAAUACUACUGAAUUAAUUGGUUUUAUAAUAUGCUUUUCUUUGAACAAAGUUGCAAUACAAAACUGAAAACGUGACUCCGAUAGGCAUCAAUGUGGAAAAAAGUAUGAGUAUAAUCAAAAUUCAAAGCCCACUUGCUCUAUCAACUUGCAUGGCAAUGCACCCAUUUUUUCCUCCUCGUUUCCUUCCAUAUUUACUUCUUUCAUUUUCGUAAAUUUUAAAUUUCAAUUGUUGGUGUGUAUAUAUAUCAUGUACACACCACACCUUCCGCAUCCCAGAACUAAGUCUUAAGUUAAUUUAAGAUUUAUUUUUUAAUUAUAAAUUGGUUUCUAAUUUGGUAUGAAAAUAGAUUGCUUUCAACUUAGGUCGAAAAUGGUUUUGAGUAUUCAUAUUUGUCAACUCUGAAAUAAAUAUAGAUUUCAAGAUAUGAACCAAAAAAAUUUAUAUAAUAUUGGGCUUUUUGCAAAAAUAUUAUUGAUUUUAAAAAAAUGCAAAAAUACGAUUUUUUGAAAAGGAGUUGCAAAAAUACUAUUUUCGAAACACUUUUGCGAAAAUACGAUUUGCAACCAUGUACAUAUAUGCUUGCUCAUAUUUGCAAACACAAUCCAACUUUGAAAAAACUGUUUAAAUUAUAUUUAGUUGCACAAUAAGUUGUAACUAGUUACAAAGAUCAUAAAGAUGAUUGUAGACGAGUACUAAUAUCACAAAAAUAACUAGAAAAUCAAAUGCAAGCAAAUCAUAACAUAACUAAAAGCAACUAACAAGAUUUCUCUCUUCAUAUCUCUUUUUCUUUAUCACUCACCACCAACUCCUUAUCGUCUCUCCCUUCCUCUAUAUGUCAAUCUCUCCUCAUCGUUCUCUUUUCAUUAUGGCAGUUGCUCCUUCGACUACCGACAACACCCUAAACAUCAAUCCACCCCCGUCACCACAUAUCCAUCAUCUAUUUCAUCUAAUCUCUAAUUUCUUUUUCCACACAUACUUAUGAUUAUGUACAUGUGCCGCAAUUGAGAUGCGAAAGAGUUUUUGAUUGUAAUUUUUUUGAUAUAUGUAUCGAUCAAGACUCCAUAAAUUACGAAACCAAUAUAUAGAUCAAUAACUCUAGGACGACAAACAAAAACAGUCGAGUUUCAUUCGACAGAACCGAGUUUAACUUUAUUUUAAAACGAGUCAAGCUGAUCCUCAACCAAAAGAAAAGUUUUAUUCAAUAUCAGCUCGAUGAUAAAUAAGCCGAACAUGUGAAAACAAUUUGUGUUGAGCUGAACUCGAGCCGAGUUGUCCACAAAUAAUUCAUAUUUAAUUUUUACAUCUUCAUUUAUCAUUUGUAAAACUUGAUAUAUAGUCUUACAAGUUAUAUCCGUGUACAUAUCGGUCAAGACUCCAUAAAUUACGAAAUCAAUAUCUAAAUUAAUGACAUUAGGACGACAAACAAACUCAGCCGAGUUUAACUUUUUUCUUAAACGAGUCAAGCUUAUCCUCAAUCAAAGGAAAAGUCAUAUUCAAUGUCGGCUUAUAAUAAACAAGUCGAACACGUGAAAACAAUUGGUAUUGAGUAGUUGAACUCGAGCUGAGUUGCCCACAAAUAAUUCAUAUUUAAUUUUUACUUUAAUUAGUUCUCAAUUGUAAAACGUUAUAUAUAAUUUUACAAGUUACAUCUUUAUAAAUAUCAAACAAUUAUAAUAUUUAUACAUUCAUAGUUACACUCGAUUCACCAAUAACUCUCACAUAUUUGUUUAACUUCCAGUUCGUAAAAUAUAAUUUAUAAUUUUCAAAGUUACAUCUAAUUUAGUAUUAUAAUAAUCAUAUAUUUACACUCAAAUCACAAUCAGCUAUACACUUACUUUUGACUAACGACUCAUUCCAUCUUUCAUGUCAACUUUCUAAUGAUAUUGGUUUGAAAUUUUAAUAUAAAAUAUUCAAAUUAUUAAUAUAUUAUAAAUAUUCGAGUACAAAAAUACAACAAAAAUCAUAAAAAUACAAAAAAAAAUAGCUCGCUUAAAAUUUUUCAGUCUAAAAUAUUCGAAUUAUUCAUAUAUUAUAUAUUUAAAGAAAUAAUAAUAAUUAACUGAGUAUAAUGAAGUUAGAUGAGUUUGAGCCAAACUUGAGAUAAUCUCGAACUGAGUGAGUAAAACUCUAGUGGACAGAUAAAAUACUCCGCCACAUUGGUCCACAAACCUCACCCAAAAAUUUACAAUUAUAAACUCCACGAAAAUUUUAUAUAACAAAUUAAAAAACUCAAUUUUCACGAGGUUGCUCCAAUUUCCAAACAUAAAUAAAAAAAUAUUUGCACAUCAAAUCUCAACAACAUUCUUAGAAACUAUGAAAUUAUUUUGAUAUAUGUAUCGAUAAAGAUUGUAGGAAGAAAACAAACAAAGUCAAGACUUUCAUUCGUCUGAGCCGAGUUUAACUUCUUCUCUAAAACAAGUUAAGUUGAUCCUCAACCAAGCGAAAAGCCGAGUUUAACUUCUUCUCGAAAACAAGUUAAGUUGAUCCUCAACCAAACGAAAAGUCAUAUAUUCAAGGGGUUUUUUCAUAAAUAUAUAGGAAAAAGUAAAUUUUUGCAAAUUUACUUUUCUCAAGAAUAGCUAUUUGCAGUUUUACUACACUAAGUUUCUAAAUUGCAAAAAUACUACCCCUCCCUUCUGCAACUGAAUGCAACCACAUGCAACUGAACGCCUGAUUUCAAGUUCCAGUUCUCAAAUGUCAUUUUCGACCUCAUCCUUGGAAUCCACGAGUUGCAGGGGGAGGGGUAGUAUUUUUGUAAUUUAGAAACUUAGUUUAGUAAAUAUGCAAUUAAUUUAGGAAGAUGGUAUUUUUGCAAAUAAGAUCCUAAAAAGUAGUAUAUUUGAUAAAUUCCCUAUAUUCAAUAGAUAACAAACAAGCUGAGCACAUGAAAAUAACUUGCGUUGAGCUAAACUCGAGCUGAGUCACAUUUAAUUUUUUUCAUUUGUAAAACGUAAUAUAUAAUUUUAUAAGUUACAUCCUUGUAAAUAUAAAACAAUUAAAAUAUUUAUACAUUCAUACUUACACUCGAUUCACGAACAAUUCUCACAUAUUUUUUACUCUAUCAAUCCUUGCCCGUAUUAUAAUUCAUAAUCUUACAAAUGACAUCCAAAUUAGUAUUAUAACAAUUAUAUACUUGCACUCAAUUCACAAUUAAAUUAUGUUGGUGUUUGGACCGGGCUUAAAAGCCCCGCUUCUCAAAUUUUAAGUUCGAAUCACUUAUUCGUGCAAUUUGUGUAAAAAAAUCGAGAAACACUUAUAAAAAGUUAAGAUUCCUAACUUUUGUUUCAUGACUUCUACUUUUUUCAUAAACACUUUAAUCAUCAUCUAAGUCUAAACUAAUUUCUAACUUCUACUUAAUUUUUUUUAUUUCAAAAAAGAAGCACUUUAAACUCACUCAAACGGUCAAUAUAUAUACCUAUUUCUAUCUUACGACUCAUUUCAUCUUUCAUGUCAAUUUAUCAAUCAAAAUAUACAAAAUUUAUACGGCAGAUUUCAGUGCUUAGCAUACGACUCACAAACCUUAUUUUAAAAGUUCAUGUGUGUGUUGUUUAAUACGACAAAGAUGCAUAGCAAAUGUACACAGUUUUUUCUGGGGAGUCGUAACUACCAGGUUGCAAGUUGCAAGGAUGGUCUGUGAACAGGUAGUCAGUCAGCUCAGCUGGUGAUGAGAUACAUGUAAUGUAUGUAAGUAUAAAUCAGAAAGAACAAGUCUUGUACUCCCUCUGUCCCGGUCAAUUGUAUACGUUUCUUUU
rnacentral:lncRNA from 1 species